rnacentral:lncRNA from 1 species
GAUGACGCCAAGCUUCUGUUCAGCCCUGAGGGGCUAGGAAACAAGCCAGACCAAAAUCACCACCCUCUUAUCCUCGAAGGAAAGAAUCCAAAUCCGCAUUCGGACUCAAACCCCAAUGAGUUUCUGAGCUUGGACAGCCACCCAGAGACCGUCCGGAAGAUGGAAAACAAGUUCAAGAGGAGCUUUACCUUGCCUGCAAGAAUGGCUUCAUCAUCAUCUUCAACUUCACUCGAUCACCAUCAGCACCACCCUGUGGAAUAUAGAAAUUCCGAAGCCGGGAUGUAUCCAGAUGUCAUGGAGACCUUCUUGGAGUGAUCAUCUGAGGAAGCUAUAGGGUUAGACCAUAAAGAAUGAGAUGUUGUAUGUAGGGAAAGCUUCUGUGGCUCUCUUGCUGCGCACAUUCUUGUGCUUGUUUUUUAGUCUCUUUUACAUCUUGUGUUUCCUUGAUCCAUUUACUGAACUUUUUUCCACUAUUUGUUGUAGUUUUUCCAAUCAUAAGUUUUCCUUUCAACUUUUCCCACAAUCCUACUAAAAUUUCAAAGAGGAAUGGUGAGAAUUUGAAUCAUUUGUGCUGCAACUGAAGUGGGGUUAAAGUUACACAAACCUUUCUUGGCUUACAGAGAAUCUUGCCAUCACCAUUUCUUGCUUUUCAUUCUUGGGAGAAACCCACUUUGUUUUUUCUUCCUUUUGGUUGAAAAUUUUAAGAAACUUUGCUUUCAGAAGCGAUAUCUUCAAAACACAGAAUGGAAUCUUUCAAUUUUAAUGUAUCUUUCCCACGUCCAUAUAUUUGUUGGUGCACAAUGUCUAAGCCUUUCAUACAGAGAUCCAAAAGCAAGAAUUUCAGUGAAAUGACCCAAGAUUAUUGAUCUUGGAGUAAUUUUGUUUUUGUUUUAUUUUAAUUAUUAUCUAUUUAUUUAUUUAGUUUUUAUCCAUUUGACCCAUUUAGGACAAAAUAUAAUUGUUUUGGCUCCACCACAGCCUAGACUUAAAUAUGACAUCUUUUUCUUUUGACCAUCUUUCAAAUUAGUGUUUUUUUUUUUGUUUUGGUUUUUUGUUUUUUUGUUUUUUUGGUUUUUUAAAUCCUUGUUCUUUUUUUUGGGGGGUUGGAUCACCUUGAAAGUGACUAAUGUUCCACUUAAAAAUUAUCAAUUAUUUUUCUUUAAAACUUCAUUAAAUCAUUGUCUUGAAAACACCCUUUGCCAAGAAGUUAUCAAUCUUUGUUUGAAGGUUAUUCAAUCAUCACCUUGAAACAUUGAGUCUCCAUUUACCUUGAAUUCAGUGUUAAAAUGAGUUGUAUUUUGUCUAAAAUUGGACCAAAUAAGAAUGAGAAUUUAUGCAUAUGGUAUAAGAAUAUUAGGGGAGACAUCUUUUUGAGAUGAAAUAUUCAAGUUGAUGCUAUUUCCUAAGUUUAACCCAUAUGAAAGACUCUAAAUUAAUGGUCUUUUUAUGCCAAAAUCUAUACUGAAUUCACAUUGGGAGAGCUCGAUGAGCUUGAUUUUAUGAAAGAAAACCAGACACCACUCAAUCUUUUGCUGCUAACUGUCAGCUGAAACACAGUCGUGUUGAUUACAAAUCACAACCCUUUACAGCAUAUUGCUCUUAGGUCCUUUUAUAUAUAUAUAAAAGAGCUUGAAAUAUCAGACAAAACCACAACAGAAUCAUCAAUAGAUCAUGAAUGUAAUCUUCUGAUAGCAUUUUGGGAGUAGUUUCUUUGUUUUGAAUGUAAAAAUUAAAGCAGUUUUUGCUUUCAAAAGCAGGAAAAACACAUCAAAAUGCUAGCAGAUGACCCCAUAAAAAAUGCUUGACAAAUGAAAACCCCAGAUCCAUGAGUUGUUACCCUGACUUGAUAUUUUCUUUCCUUGAUGGUUCCAUGGCAUGGCAUUCUCUGCAGGCUGACAUGAAUAACCUGAAAAACCUCCAUCCAAUCCCGGGUUUCGCCCUCCUCUUCUCCACAGCCACCUUCUUCUGCCUCAACUGGUCAUCUUGCACUGCAGCUCCAGCUCUUCUCCGACGCGAAGGCUCACGGCUCAGGACCGGUGCUGGUGUGAUGAACUGCCAUCUCUGAGAAUUCCCAUAUGGUUGAGCCAAAACAGGCCUAUUUGCAAGGUACCCGUCUCUUGUUAUCGCGGUUUUCGCCACAACUUUGGCCUGCAUAGUAGUCCAUGCUCUCAUCCUCUCAGAAUUAUCGCUUGAGCUUGUCCUUGCACUGCUACAGCUGCUGCUCCUACUGCUUGUGCUAUUGCUUCUGGACGACACCAAUGAGUCUUUGCUGCUAAUGCUGCUUGUUCUGCUGUUUGCUCGGGCGAUAUCGGUCCGAGGACUAGCCGAUUGGCAGGGAAACACAUGCGGUAAAAGCUUGCCAUUGCAGAACAAGUGAUCAGCUGGGGAGCUCUUGCUUGAAGGCAAGUCUGGUGUAACACAACCAAACUCAAACUCAGAGUCUUGGUCCUGACUGUGAAAAGAGAAAAUAUCACCGGAACUCUUGUGCUGCCGGCGACUUUCCAUUGGAUCAUCUGACACUUUGUGUACAAAAUGUGUCUCUAUUUAUAUCCAAACCUCGAGUCUCUGAUAUGAUCGAUGUAACAAGGUUGGCCGUCUUCUCGGGAGCGUGACACGUGGAACGAUCUGGACCGUUUGGUGGAUGGUCCUGAUCAGCUUAGUGGUCUUAAUCAUGUACGUCUUCUUGCCAACCCUAACCUUUGAUUCAAACACAUGGUGUUGCAAUAAUCUUUGUAAGUGAGGGAUAUUCCAAAGUGCUUGUGUUAUAAUAUAAUUAGUCUUAUUAAUCAAACUUGAGCCUCACAUUUUGCCAAUGGCCCACCUUGUAAUCGAUCCAUAUCAUCCAUCCAGGGUUUCAAUUUGAAUGGCAUUGAUGAAAGAGUUAGGUGGUCGGACAUGAAACGAUUGUUAAUAAUGCAUCUUAAUUUGUCGAUAGGAGCGGGUUUUAAAACUUAGAAGGUCUUAGUGUGACUCUACUAGAACUAAUCAUAUAAUUACAACAAAGUUCCCUAUUUGACUUUAAUACCUUAAACCUUAAUGAAAGUAAAGGAGGAACACGAGGAAAUAUUCUCCAUAAACCCUUGAUUAUUUUAGAAUAGCUCUCAAUCUUUUUCCAUAUCUCUGUCUAUUUGCUACUGUUUUAGAGGGACACAGCCUCCAAGAAACACUCUUUCAUGUAAAGCAAAGAAUGGAGCUUGGAAGGGAGGGUGGUACAUAAUAUAAUUGCAGGGCUGAGGCUCCCAGAAGGACCAUGCAAUGAUGGGUUCAACAUAGCCUCCUUUUUUCCAUUUUUAUUUUUUAUUUUUUAUAUUUUUUUGUGUGUUGUGGGAAAAAAAAGGCAAGUGUAGGGACUGAGGCCCAUACAAAAGAAUGGGUCAACAAACACAAAGCUUUCUUUUGUGUUGUGGAAGCAAAAAGGGGCAAUGAGUAGGGACUGCUUGAAUGAAAUCAAAGCUUAUUUUAAUUUGAUCAGACACUUUCUUCACUCCCAAACAUGGUGACAAGUUUUCCUUAGAAAAUUCUUUUGUCUCCCAUUUGAGGUUUCUGUGAUGGGCCCAUGGGCCCAUUUCCAUCUCAUUCUGCUUUUUGGGUCAAGCCUGGUUUGGUCUCCAUUCUUCCCCACCUCCCAAUUCGUUUCUUAAUCUUCCUUGGUUGAUGGUAGGACCCCUGAUAUUAAAACCCUACUCAUUGGAGCUUCGUUGAGUCGAGUCGACUCGUUCGGUCUCGAUGAGCUAACUCAGUACCCUAUUUAUAUCAUAUUAUUAUUAUUAUUAUUAUUAUUAUGAUUUUGAUUUUAUAAAAAUGAGGUUGAGUUGAAUGUCUUGGAUUAGAGUUCAAGUUGGAUUGAGUUUGGGUUAAUUGUUUUUUUAAUUCAGAUUGGGCUCGAGUUAGCCAACCCUACUCAUUGGAGCCUUAUUGAGUUGAUUUGACUUGUCUGGUCUUGAUAAGUUAACUUGGUACCCUAUUUAUAUCAUAUUAUUAUUAUUAUUAUUAUUCCAAUUUUAUAAAAAUGAGGUUGAGUUAAGUUUGAGUUGAAAACCUUGGGUUAGAAUUUUAGUUGGAUUGAGUUUGAGUUAAUUGUUUUUAAAUUCACAUUGAGCUCGAGUUAGCCAACCUCACUCAUUGGAUCCUUGUUGAGUCGAGUCGACUUGUCCGGUCUUGAUGAGUUAACUCAAUACCCUAUUAUAUCAUAUUAUUAUUAUUAUUCCAAUUUUAUAAAAAUGAGGUUGGAUUGAGCUUAAGUUGAGUAUUUUGGGUUAGAGUUUAAGUUGGAUUGAGUUUAGGUUAAUUGUUUUUUUAAUUCAAAUUGAGCUCGAGUUAGCCAACCCUACUCAUUGGAGCCUUGUUGAGUCGAGUCGACUUGUCCAAUCUCGAUGAGUUAACUUAGUACCCUAUUUAUAUCAUAUUAUUAUUAUUAUUCCGAGUGUAGAAAAAUGAGGUUGAGUUGAGUUUGAGUUAAGUACUUUGAGUUAGAGUUCAGAUUAUAUUGAGUUUAGGUUAAUUGCUUUUUAAUCUAGAUUGAACCCGAGUUAGCCUUCAAAACAAACCAAUCCACCCAAGUUGUAACCUUAUAGUUUUAAGUUACAUCAAAUAGAAAGGAAGUUGAUAAAUAAUAUAAAGGGAAUUAUUGGAAGCUUUCUUUUUUGGGCGAGAAGAAGCAAAGAACCUUUUUUUUUAAAAAAAAAAAAUUAGUAAUUCCUUUUAAAAGUAAAGGCCCCACAAAAUCUUUCAAAUUUAAUAAAGUUACAAAAAAAACCUUCAUACCAUGAAAAGAUUAAAGAAGAUAAUGCUUCUCACUUUCAUUAAAAAAAAAAAAAAAACUUCCAAUUUUAAUUGCAUUCAUAUUUGCCAUAAACUCAAAUAAACGCACAAACAACAUAUUUAUUAGAGAGGUUGCAUUAAAAAAAAUGGAGGUUUGCAAUUUAAUUAUCAAAAAAAGAUUUUUUUUAAAAAAUUAAAUAUAAUAUAUAUGUAUGUAAAUAAAAAAAGUUAAAUUAUUUUUAUAUUUUUAAUUAUUUUUAAAAAUAUUUUAUAAAAAAUAUAAAAUAUCUUAUAUUUAUUAUAAAUAGGAAACCCUUUUCAGAAUAAGUUUAACAAAAAUAAAUAAAUAAAUAUAUAUAUAUAUAUUUUUUAAUUUUUAAGAUAAAAAGCAGGGAUAUAAUUUUCCGGGAAAAUAUAAACAAAUUUCCCCGGAAAGGAAAGUCGAUGGUCGAAACGCUUCAUGACUUUAUAGCAAAGAACGCGUCUGAGAUGCGAAAAGGUUCGCGGUGGGUGGGUGGGAGGUCGUGUCAACUGUUGAAGCGACUUCUCCUCCUUGAGCUCACACUUGUCGUUCUCUCCUCUUCUUCGCUCUACACCUAUCCCUCUGCCUUUGUUCUCUUCUUCUCUCUCCCCCCCUUCCUCCUCUUACAUAUACACCCCAUCUUCUAAUUACAAAAUGGCUGGCAAAGAAAUCAUCAAUAAGAUGAAGGUAACCCCCCACCCCCACUUUUUUUUUUUUCGUUUUUUCAAUUUUCAUUUCUGUAAUGGUUUCUUGAUAGUUUUAGGUGAACAAUGGUGCAAUUAUGUUACAUGGGUUGAUGUGAUCCUCUUGGGUUUUUAUUUAUUUUUGGUUUCCCUGUUCUAAUUAAUGGUGCAAUAUGGAUGUUUGGAGUAUAGAUGUUGUGGAUUCUGGCAUUGUUGGGCUAUUGGGUGUGAUGAUGUGAGACCCAUUUGAAGGGUUUUUGAGAUCAUGGUGUCUGUAACCCAGUUUGCCUUUCUUUUUUAUUGGGUAGAAUACAGGGGUUUGGGGGUUUGGAUGUGUGUGAGUGUUGGGAGAUGGAAAGGGAGGAAACUGAUACUGGGCGAAAUGGGAUUUGAACUCUGGGGAAGAAGUAAAAUGCUGUGAUGCAAUCAAGGGAAUGGUUAAGGACUAAGGAGGGAAUGGACAAGUAAUAUGAUUAUAUUUCGAUUUUCGGGUUGUUGAAAAUUAAUCAGGAGAGUGCAGAACAUUUCAAUGGAGGGGUCUUUCGUUACCUCGAAAGAAGUGUUCCGAAACUUGGUUUUUUGCAACCCUUAAUGUAGGAAUGGGAGAAGAAAAUUAAGAGCACAAGCCUUGCUAGGAUUGUAAUAAACUUUGUACCUAAAAGCCCUUUUGUUGAGAUUGAGGCUGAAGAUUGAUAAGCAUCUUUGCCAUGAUAAGCCUACAAAUUGGGCACAUUGAAGGUUACUGAAGUUUCUAUCUUGCUGUUAGACUAACCAUGUGAAAAUCUUGCUUGCUCACAUGCUUCUAUAUCGAAAAUGGUCCAUUGGCCCAAUCUUGCUAGUUGCCAUACUAUGUGGAAAUUUCUCUCAUGUUGAUCCAAACUAUAUUGACUUUGUAGUCCACAUACAUGAACAUUGCCACUAGAUUAUCAGAUAUAGGCAAAGGAAAAGGAUCUGAUGGACCAUUUGGGUUAAAUUGCACACUGCUUAAAACAGAUUCGCUCAAUAAAUCUGUUGUUUUUACCCAACAAUUAGUCAUUCUGUCCUUUGUGGAUGAUGAGAGCUACUAUAUUGAAGCUUACCUCUCAUUUUUCUCCCUGGAGAACACCAAACAUGUCCUAUAAAAUUCUUGUCAUGAUCUGACAGUGAAGGGAAAGAAUACUGUUCAGCUUCUCAAAAUUUCCCAAGAGUUUGUCCAACCCACUUGACCAUAAUUCAUAGUGUUGUGACUAGGUACAGAGUGAGCCAUUUUAGUGGAGGAUAAAAGCAAUGUUCCACAUUGCCAGGGAUCUGGCUGUCAAUAUUCGGAGUUUGGCCACCCUUAUGACAUCUUUGCUGUAACGUGUUUGACAUGUUUGUACAUGUUUUAUGGAAUCUACAUGCCAUUUCGACUGAUAGAUCCUGUCUUUGAUAUUGGCCCCUGCAGAUUUCUCUUUAGUUGUAACCACAAUUUUGUCUUGCUGUUUUUAAUGAUCACCUAUCUACAUGAGCAACCUGGAAAUUGCUGUUUUUGAACAAAUAACCAUCCUGUAUCAGAAAAUCGCAUGUCAAAGCUCCUAAAUCUCAGACUAUAUACGGCCAAAGUUAGCCUGUUGCAAUUCCUUCAAAACUCUGUAUAGCAGAUGUGCCAAUGGUGUCUUUCAAAAGAGAUCUCCCACUCAAAUCAUAUGGGAGUUUAUAUAAGUACCCACUUUGUAUGAAUCAUGGAGUUGCAACUUUUCAACUCCACUAGCUUUUCAUGCUGAAAUUUCAGCACUUGUUGAUUGCUUACUUAUGUGCUUUAAGCUGAUGAUCAGUAUGAAGGAUGAAAUCGUUAUGCUUCGAAUAUUUCCUCCAUUUCCAUAAAGUUUGAAGGAUUGCUUAAAAGUUCCAUAUGGUUGGUUAAAUGCCAGAACAAUUGUCAUUUAAGUUUUCUCUGUAGAAUGCAAUAAACCACCCUUCUUGGCUAAAGACAGCACUUAUUCCACCAAUGAAAUCUCUAAAAAACUUUCUGGAAAUCUGGAAGAGCCAAACACAAGGGCUUCUGUUCAUUGCUUAAAAGAUGUUUUUGGUUGUUUCUGUCUCCACAAAUACACUGGAUUUUAAACAAUCAACAAUAUGUGCUACCAAUGAACUGAGUUCUAUUGUGAACAAGCCUGAAGUAUAUCGGUGAAGCACAACCAGGAAAUGCUUAAUAUUGUGAGCCAGUCACUUUCCUUAUAUUUCUAUUAGGACAAAUUAAAAAUAUUGUUUAAGAGAAAAACUUAAAAGAGGAAUUUUGUUGAAAUAUUUAUCCUUUAACUACUUUUGAACAUGGUUUUAAGUUGAGGUAUUGGUUGUUGACUCAGUAGGUCUUGGGCUCAACAUCUUAGAUCAAUAUCGGAAAAAUUUUAGACAAAUAAUUACAAUUAGACAGAUUCAACAAAUUAAUAAAAAAAGCAUUUAUGACAUUUUACAUUAUCUAAAAUGGUUACAAAAGCAUGUGUUCGAGUUGGUUGGUGAUAGUUUUAAGAAUUGAAUGCUCUUAAAACAUUUACCAUACCCAUUUUUACACUCAAUACCAAUUUUUGAUAAUUGGUGUAUUUUGAAAAUAAAAAAUGAAAAUAAUAAAAAGAAAUUUGAUUAAUAAAAAAAUAAUUAUUUGAAAAUAAAUAGUUUGAAUUUUUUGUUUAUGCUUAUGUAUUGAGGUAGAGUCAUGGUGGCCAUGAUCUAGGCAGAUGCCAACUGGCCGAGACUGGUAUAUCUUAGCAGAUACUUUGAACUAUGUUUGCAUAUCACACGAGGACAUGCUUGUUGUAUUAUCUACUCUUGUUCCAAGCAUUGUGUUUGACUUCUUUUAGUCAUCUAUAUCGUGUGUCCCAUCCAUGGUUGUUCUGUUGAAUACUGUUUCACUGAUUUGUGCAACCCUCUGAAAUUGGUUACAUAACUCCAAUUCUUGCUCUUCCCUGUUUGAAUCACCAGUUUCCAAAUAUUUGUUGCAGGAAAAAGUUGGGUUGGGUUCAUCUUCCUGUGACACUGGCAAAGGGAAGAGCAAGAUGUCAAAGAACAUAACACAUGGCUAUCACUUGGUAAAGGGAAAAUCAAACCAUGCCAUGGAAGAUUAUGUUGUUGCACAAUUUAAGAAAGUUGAUGACAAAGAGCUUGGUCUGUUUGCAAUAUUUGAUGGUCACUUGAGCCAUGAUAUUCCUAAUUAUUUGCGGUCUCAUUUAUUUGAUAAUAUUUUGACAGAGGUAAUUCAUGAUAUCUUCAUUGCAUCAUAUUUUUUCUUGUUUGGAAUUGCUUUCUAUGAACUAUUUAUAGUGUCUGCAUGUGGGUAACCUUAGGCCAUUUCUUGAGUGGAGUUUAGGACUUCUGCCUCCAUACUCAAAACUUUGAACUUUGUCUUGGUUAAUUAUGGAAAUUUGGAUGUAGAUUAGUUCGCGGUUGUUUUUGAAAAUCUGGUUAAAAUCUGCUGUAUUUCUUUUCUCUAAUUAUUUGAUUAAACAUGUUUAGUUUUUGCCUUUUCUUUCCUUCUCUACCUCUGGUGCUUUUUUGGGUUUGUUAAAGGGAUAGCAAUCUCAGCAUCUUUUCUCUUGCUGCGACUAGCCUGACUUCUGGACUGAAACGGAGGAGGCAAUUAGAAGAGCAUAUCAUAAUACUGAUACUACAAUUUUGGAGAAAUCAGCUGAUUUGGGUAAAGGGGGAUCAACAGCAGUUACAGCAAUAUUAAUUAAUGGGCAUAAGUUGAUAGUAGCCAAUGUCGGGGAUUCUCGAGCUGUCAUAUGCAGAAAUGGGGUGGUCAAACAACUAUCAGUUGAUCAUGAGCCGAGCAAGGAACGAAAGAACAUUGAGGACAGAGGUGGUUUUGUAUCAAACUUCCCAGGUAAAAUGAUGUCUGAAAUAUGAACAGAUUCUUUUAAGGUUGUCCAGACACCACAUGGCAAUUAUAUCAUUCCAUCAUCUAUAUUUUGACUUGGCUAUGUUUCUUUCUGAACACUUAUUUAAUGUAAGUUCAUUUUAAGAUUUUCACGACUGUUCUCUUAAUAGUCUUUGAGGACUCUAUUGGGAACAAAAACCAUGCUCCCUAUCUUAUGGGAAUUAAAUAAAGACAUUUCACUUCCCUGUGCGCUCAAACGAGCCGUUUGAACCCCAUCAUGGGAUACCACAUGUAAUGACCAACAGGGAUUCUGAAGAGGGUUGUAUAGCUUUUCAAUUGAUAUAAGUUGCUUCUGCAUGUUUCCUUUCCCGGUAUUAAGGUGGUAUGCAUUUUUUAUUCUUAUUUUUGCGAUUAACCAUCAGUUUUUUUAUUUUUUAUUAUUUUAUUUACCAACUGUCCUAGUAUGUUAAUGUGAUAUCAAUGCCUUCAAUGGGACUAUCACCAAUAGCGAUGUUUUCACACUGCCUCCUUACUGCAAAUCAUCCAUUCUCAGAUGAGUUCUUAUGUAUUUGUGAUUAAUUCAGGGGAUGUUCCUCGUGUUGAUGGGCAGUUGGCUGUUGCAAGGGCUUUUGGUGACAAGAGCUUGAAGGGACACCUCAGUUCAGAACCAGAUGUGGUGGUAGAGCACAUACAUGAUGAUACAGAGUUUGCUAUUUUGGCAAGUGAUGGAUUAUGGAAGGUUUGUUACCUUCCAACUUCCAGUAAUGCUACCUUCCAGUAAUAUAGACUUUAUCGUAAACUAUCCAUUGCAUGGAAAUAAAAUUAUUUAGGCUAACACUGGGGAAGAAAUGCUAAGAAGAAUUGGCUACAUGUUCAAGGAAAUGUAUUAGCUUUCUGGACAAAUGAAGUCCCAUGGAAGUAUUCUAACUAGAUUUCAAUAUGUAACUUGCUUGAUGACCGAUAAACCUGUUUAUCACAAACCUAGAUCGUACAUGAGUACUGAACUGAUUCCUAGGAAACACUUAGUCAUUAGAGAGGUUAAGAAAGCCCCAAUUAGUGGCUGCAAAAGAAGAAUGCCCUAAUAUUGCAUACUUGAGCACCUUCGACAGACUCCCCCUAAACGUGUUUAAUAGAUACAAAACUCUGAGUCCAACAACUAUAACUCAAGAGAAAUGCAUCAUAUGAUAGUGUAACCUCUGCAGUGCACCUGACUAAAGAAGAGAAUAUCGUUUACCGAUAGUUGUAUAUUUGUGCCUCAAAAGCCUUGUGGUCAAGCAAUAUUUUGACAAUGUGGAUGUUGGGUGUCAUUCAUCUUCUUUUCCAAUGUAAUGUAAUUGGCAUGGACUGAAAUCCAGGUAAUGACGAACCAAGAAGCAGCAGACUCAAUCAAGAACAUAAAGGAUGCCAGGGCUGCAGCAAAGCACCUUACUGAAGAGGCACUGAUUAGGAAGAGCACAGACGAUAUCUCCUGCAUAGUAGUAAGAUUCCAGUGAGAUACUUUCUUGCUUCUUGUUGUGCUUUUCUUUGUUGGAUUGGGGAUGAACUCUCUUCAUGAUCUCCUUGGUGUUUGGUUGAGUAUGCUGUAAAAAUGAACCUGAUGCAUGUCUUUUGUUGCCACUGUAAAGGUCUUCUCUCUCUGUUUUUCUACUGUAUCAGUAUCGGAGGUUCAAGCUCAUACUGCAGCUGAAAUGCCAAAUGAUAUAUUGCAAACCUUCUUUGUGUGUUGUAUGGUAAAAGAAGAAAUCAAACAUGACUCCUGUUUGGGUGUUUUGAGUGACUUUUAGAACUUGAAUCAUUCUAUUUUUUGUUGGGAUUAUUUGAUUGACCGGGAUGAAAUGAUCCCAACUUUAUAAAAGUAAUUUCUCCCGUCUUUGAACUUAAAAAAUAAUGAUAUAAAUGUCUUUUAAUAUUAGAUUAUUUUUUAUAUAUGUUUAGACUUAAAAAAAAAAAGCAUUAGAGGUGGUUUUGUCAAAAAUUGGACAUUAUUUUAAUUUGAAAAUUUAAUAUUAUUAUUUUUUUAAUCAAAUAACCUUUUUUGUUUUAAUUGGAAAUUGGUAUAUCGGGCCUUCCUUAACUUUGACAUGAAAUUAAGGUUAUUUUUUGGUUGAAUAAAAAAAGUCAAAAUAUUUGGUUUUUUUUAUUCAGCUAAAAGUAACUUGUUGACAUGAAAGUUUAAUUAUGUUUGAUGAUGUCAAUAGAUUAUUUUUAGCUUAAUAAAAAAAUUUAAAUAUUUUGGUUUUUUCUAUCCAGUAAAAAAACAAACACCACAUAAGUUAUCAACUUUAAGUGAAGGGCAGAUCAUAUUUAAAAAAAAUAUUUUUUAAAAGAAUGAAAAUAAAAUAAAAUUAUUUGUAUAAAUAAAUUUUAAUUUUUAAAAAUAUUUUUAAUUUUUAAUUUUAUAAAAAAAAAUUGUAAAUUUAAUUUAUAUAAUGUUAAUUAAGCUUAAUUUGAGUUUUUUUAAAAGUAAAAUUUAUUUUUUCAUUAUAAAUAAAUUAAAAGUAAUUUUUUUUAGUGAAAUAUGAAUAUUAAUAUUAUAGUAAAAUUAUAAAUUAUAUUUUUAGUAAUAUUAUAAAAUAUGGAUGUUAAUAUCUUUAUAAAGAUAUAAUUAAUUAUUUUAAAAAGGUAAAUAAUGAUAAUUUUAAAAUAAUAAAUGUUAAUAAUAUUUUAUUUAAAUUUAAAAAUAUGUAAAGUUUUUUUUUUAAUAUGUAAAUAAGUUAAGUCUUUUAUUAUAUGUAUAUAUAUUUAAUGUUUAAUAAAAAAUGGAAUAUUUUUUACUAAUUUUGAUUUGGUUUGUAAUUGAUUGAAUCAAAUUUUUGAAUUCUUAAUUAUUCUUAAAAAUUGGUAGAUUAAAUAAAGAAUCUAAAAUAUUAUGUCAUUUAAUUUGGUUUCACUUGAUUUAAAAUUUGUUUGUCUAGUGACAACAUUAAGAAAAUAUAAUUAUGUACAAAAGACAAAUCAUAAAUUUAUAACUCAUUUGGGAUCAGAUUUGAUUGAGUUUAUUUUUGAGUUAUAUAAUUUUAAAAAUUAUUAGACUCAUCAAUAAAUUUAAAUUAAGUCUAGCUUGAUUUGAAGUUGAUUUGUUUAUUGACAAAAUUUGUACAAUAGUAGUUAUGUGUUAAGAAGAAACAACAUAGUCAUUGUCUAUUAAUUUUAGUCCAUAAAUUUUUAGUUAAGAUUGAGUUGUUUUUUGAGUUUCAAAUUAUUUUUUAAAAUUAAUAGACUUGUUAAGGAAUACAACGCUUUGCGUCUUUAUGGAUUUUGAGUCUAUUUGUUUAGGGAAAAAAAUUUUAAAAGUUUUUUAAUAUUAAUAAAAACUUAUUUCUUGAAUAAUUUGAUUUGAAGAAGUAAUUUACCAACCAAAAUUAUAAGUUACCCUUUUAAAAAUAAAAUGAUAAAAUACAUGGUAGAUAUUAUACUAAAUAAAUAGAACUAAAUUAAUUGAAGAUAUCAUCAAUGAUUUUAUUAUUUUUAAUUAAUUCCAAACUAAAUGAAUGGAUUAGAAAAGUAGUAAUAAUAAUAAUAUAUUUUCAAGUCAAACAAAGUUACAAAAUCAAUUUGUACAAAAUUGGAGCUACACUACACGUUGGGAGUGCUUACGAACUUAGUUGAAAUAUCAAACAGCGAAAUCAUUUUUUUAGUAUUAUAAAAUAAAAGGAUUUGAAUUGGAAUGAAUGAAAAAGAGAACAAUACACGUGUUAAGGAAUAAUUAUAACUUUUCAACUCAAACAAAAUCAAUUCGAUAUUGAAUUAGAGCUACAUUACGAUUGGUUGAUUGUUCAUGAUUUUUGUUGAGAUCAUCUUGUUAGAUCAAAGUUUGGUUAAUCUUAAUUUUAAUAAUAAUAAAACAAAGUUUGGAUAUAAAUGUUGGGAGAAUUAUGUUUUGGGGGUAGAUGGACCCUCAAAUUAACAAAAGGUCCAUGUAACUCUUCAAAUUGAGCCCAAGACCCAAUGAAAGUAUGAAAAUUGAGUUGAAGGAUAUCAUCCUUCAGUAUUUCCAAAAAUGCCCUUUGUUGAUUUUGAGAAAAAAAAUUAAUAUUUUUGAAAAAUACUUUUAUUUAAUUUAAUAUUUAAAAAAAAAUACUUUUAUGUAAUUUAAUAUUUUUUAAAAUACUUUUAUUUAAUUUAAUAUUUUUUAAAAAUAAAUUUAUUUAAUUUAAUAUUUUAAAAAAAUUUAAUUUAAUAUUUUUUUUAAAUACUUUAAUUUAAUCUAAUAUUUUUGAAAAAAAAAAUUUUAAUUUAAUAUUUUUGAAAAAAAAAUAUUUAAUUUAAUAUUUUUGAAAACUACUUUUAUUUAAUUUAGUAUUUUUGAAAAAAAAUUAUUUAACUUAAUUUUAUAAAAUAUUUUAUGUGUUCUUAAAGGGUAUAUUUGUCUAUUACUAUUUCAUAUCCUUCAACUCAAUUUGAAGACUUAUAUGAACCUUUUGUUAAUUUGGGGGUCCAUCUACCCCCAAAAGAUAAUUCUCCCAUAAAUGUUUAUCUUAAGUAAAAGAAAAUAUAUCAAAGAAAAGAACUUUCAAGACUUACUUGUCUAGGAUUUCUUUGUAAAGUUGUUGAUGUAUUAGAACCUGCAUUUUAUUUUUUACUCAAGUAUCUAAAGUCAUCCAAAUACUAAUUUGUUUUAAUUUUUAUUUUAUUUUUAUAAUUAGAUGAUUUCAUGUUUUCAAUUAAAAAUCUUGAGUGAUCAAUUAAUUUUUCUGAUUUAUUGCAUCAAAACACAAUUUAUAACUAAAUUCACUAUUUUAGAGUAGUUUGUACCUGGUCAAAAAAUGGUUUCAAUACAAACUAUCGUAGUAUAGUGGUUUUUAGGUGUCGUCCACUAGGAUGAAUUAUUCUCGGUAAUUAAGGUUUGAAUGGGAGGAUACAAAGUGAUUGUAAUAAAGUGAAAUUGAUUUGAAAAUUUAUGGUGAAAAAUCAAUUUAACAAUGGUCUCAAAUUGAGAAGAAUAAUGAAAUGUAAACUAGAAGAAAAUUAAUAGAAAAUGAAAUUCUCGGAGUUAGGAUUUUAUAGAAAACAAUUUCUAAAGUCAAUAGAUGUUGAUAUCUAAUUUUCAUCAAGUUAGAUUGAAAACCUAAAUUCUCAUCUAAACUGAUUUUAGAUGUAGCUUUAAGUCUAAAUCUAAUUUAUCUUCAAAUUAGGUUAUUUAAUCCAAGAGAUCAAUUUAAACUAUAAAUUCAGUUCAUCUUAAAUCAUCUUCCAAUGAUUCAUACAAUGCAACUAUUUGAUUUCAUUAAAUCUAACUUUAAAAAUUUAAUGAAUCCACUUAGUUUGCAAUGUAAUAGUCAUCCAAGACAAUUUGACGAGAAAAACCCUCAAAAUUCAAUCAAUUAAUCAAAUGGAUCAAAUUACCUUUGUAAUUCAAGCUCAUUUCUCUAAUUCACCAUGGAUCUUGCUUCAAGAUCCUUAUUCCUCCUAGAAAAAUGAGAUUUAACCACUCAUGCUUGGAGAUUUGGUCUCACAAGACAUGUUUGGCUAGUGAGAAAAUGAAGGAAAAUAGAGAAUUCUAUUGAGAGAGAAAAUCUGGAAAAUUCUACAAUUAGAAAAUGUUCAAAAAGUUUUCUCCUCCUCCAUUUUCUUCAUGAAGAAUUGAAGUUUCUAUUUAUAGGACAAGGUCAAGUGGACACUUGGGAUCAUGUAAGAGGUCUUUCGAAAGCUUCUUCAUCAAACAAUUUGGAGUUUAACUACAAAAUGACCAUUUUGCACGAGCUCAACCAAUUUCGCAUGGUUGUGUGAAAUCAAUAAUUCAACAGUAGCAAUUGCAACUCUUUGGAGCAUUUCACAUGACUGUGUGAAAUUUUCGCAUGAUCAUGUGAAAUCAACUUGACAAUUCUCAUUUGUUUGCGGCACAAUUCCACAUUUUGGUCCAUUUUGCAUAGUCAUGCGAAAUGAAAAUAUUUAAUUUUUAAGCUUUCUUUUGUCAUUUUUUCCAUUUCUUCAUUUUGAAUCCACCUCAACUACCUUCAAAUCAGCUCCAAAUCUCGAUCCAAAUACAUUGCUUCUUCCUCAUCAUCCAUAUUAUUUGCCCUCCUCAAUUCCAUUUCUCUUUUGUCACUCAAUGCUUCAAAAAUCACCUUGAAAUCCCUCCAAAACUUCACAAAAAUCAUUAGCAUCUCUUGCAAGGGUAACAAUGUAUUACUUGGGCAUAUUAGGCAUAAUUACUACUCAAAAGGUAUGGAAUUCAUGAGAAUUAUUAUUUAAAAUGUAUAGUUUUUAAGUAGUAAUCAUUGAGCCAAAUAUUUUUUAAAACUUAUCCUAAAAGGUUUUAAGAAGUUAUACAAAAGUUGUUAAAGGUUUCAAUCCUUAAAAUGGGGUUUUAAGCACUUUACAGUGCAAAUGGUCAAAAGUGUUAGGAACUAAUUGGGCUCAAUUGGUCAAGGGGUAUUUUCACACCCUCUCUCUUCUAGUAGCGAAUAUUGAGUCAGUUAAAGACCAAUAAAGGGUCGAUUGACCUUUUGACCUCCAAUGGCUACUUGCCAAAGUAUUAAAUGUUAAUAGUUAGUGAACCAAAUUGAAUUGGUUACUCAACUAGUUGACCCUCAAACUUGUCUAACAAUAGUUUUGAGCUUUUAAUAUCUAUUUAAAGGCUUCAAACUCUUUGUUUUUGUGCCCAAGAGUUCUAAAUCUUUUAUAAAAAUUAUUUGAGUCUUGGGAGAGUGUUUUGAGUGCACUUUGUUUUAAAACUUACAUAUCUAUUAGUGCACCUCAAUCCUAGUUUUUCUUUGUACCAUUUGAACUUGAAUUUGUAAAGUAGGAAUCCUUUUUUCAUUUCUAUAUCUUGUGAGGGUAUUUUGGAACCAUAAUCUAAAAAGAAGAGUUUGAAAACUGUCUUGAAAAGUCUUGUUGUGAAGGGUGUUUAGAACCAUAAAUCUAAGAGGAUAGUUAGAACCAUAAGUCUAAGAGGGUUAAUUGAAAUUAUAAUCCAAUUGUAAGCUUUGAGACUUAGGUCGAAAGCCUCGAAAUAGUGGAAUCUUUACUUGAUUAGGACCUUGAAGAUAGUAAAUGUAGGUUGCGUUGCAUUGAACCACUAUAAAAACUUGAGUUUACAAUCUUUCUUUCUUACUCUCUUUUAUGCAAUUACAUUUUAUUGCAUUUAUUAGAUAAUUUUCAUUCACAAGUAACUUAUCGUGUUAACUUUUAUAGCAAUUUGGUGUCAUUCAUUUCAUUUAUCUUCUCCUCUCUUUCAAGUUAUCUUUUAUUCUUAUUAAUAUUUUUACACUUAUUUCCACCCUUUAUUUGAAAAAAAAGAAGUUAAAAAUGUAUGAAGAAUGGUAUUUUUGAAAUUAAUAAGUUUUUAAAAAUGUUACAAAGACAUGUUAUGUGACUUUUUGUGAAGUUAAAAGAUAUUUGCAUAAGUUUUAUGGAAAAUAAUAGGAAAAGAAAAGUGUUCGAAAAAUUUUAAAACUUUUUGUUGGGUUAAUUUUGGAAAAUAACAGCAAUGAAAAUAAAAUAUAACAAAAUUAUUUACAAUUUAUAUAAUUUUCAUUCUUGGUAUAAAGAAGAAAAUAAGGCAAAUAAAUUCAGAAAACAUCUGAGAAAAUUUUAUAAAUUAGAAACUUCCUCUCAAAACUUUUUAAAAUUCAAUCCCUUCUAGAAAAUUAACCGCAUUAGUCAUCAACUUCCAUAAAUUAUUUGUGUAAAAUCAAAGCAAUUGAAUAUAGGAAGAUUAAGAAUGUGUUUGAUAGUGUUUCUAUUUGAAGUAAUCGUUGGUACACAACUUUUAGGGGGCAACUCUCUAUUGGCUACCCUAAUUCUCAACCACUUAGUGACUCCUUUUAAUAUAAAGGGUUAUUUAGAUAGGUGACUCAGAAUAAAGGUAAAAUUGUAAAAACAACCUCACCAAUUAAUUGUUUUGAGAGAUGACCUAAUUUGGACAUUUUUACCCUUAUUAAUUUCCUUCCAAAAACACAUAAGAUCCCCCACCAAAGACAUGAUAUCCCUCAAAAAAUAGAAAACUUUAGCUUUACUUCUCUCAUCAAUACUAUAUCUCUCAGCAUCUCUCUCACUUACACUGUGAGUACGUCUCUAUACGCCAUUUUUGUAACCCACCAAUAAAAUUAAGCUAAAAGAAAUAGAAAAUAGUAAGAUCAUCCACUAAAGACAUGAUAUCUCCAAUAGCAAAACAUUUUAGCUUUACAUCUCUCAUCGGUACUACAUAUGUCUGGAUAUCUCUUACCAACAAUGUGAGUAUGUUCCUAUACACCAUUACUGCAACCUACCAUUAAAACUGAGGUUAGAGAAGCAAAGAAGAUUAAAUAAAAACAUAUGGCGAGGUCGAAUGAAGGUAUGUAAACUCAUUUGGAAAAAAAAAAAUACCUUAGUUUUGCUAUUCUCAACAUUAUUUGGUUGUAAGGAAAAGAAUGAAAUUUUUAGAGUAAACAUGAGUGAAAUUUUUUGUUAAAAAGAUUUGUAUGAAAAAAGUAAAGUUUGUAUUUAACAUGUAAAAACUGGACGUAACUAGUAUUAAGUUCUUUAUAUAUAAAACUUGAAGAUAGUUGAGUACAGUUCAACAUGUUAAUCGACAACUUUGCAAGAUUGACUUACUUAUCUAAAUAACUACUAUUUCAAUAUUAUUUUUUUGUAUCAAUAAUUCAAUUUAUUUAUUUAUUUUUGUUAAAGUGAUUGAUAAAAUGGGAAUAAUGCUUCUUUAUGAAGGAGAUUGGGUGCAAAAUGGAAACAUGUAUUACUUUGAAGGUUGCCAAGGUAAGGGUAUUGAACCUAAGAAGACUACAACAUAUGAAGAAUUAUUGAAGAUUGUUUGUCACAUUUUGAAAGUAGAUCCAACAAAGCACAAUCUUUCGAUGAAGUAUGUAUUCAAUGACAAUAUACCAACCACUCCUAUAUAGCUAAGAAAUGAUGGAGAUAUGAAAAUUUUCAUUCUUUUAAAUUGUACUGAUGGUAAGUUGCUAGUUCCAUUAUGUAUCAUAAUAGAGAAAAAAGUGGCAAUCAUGGGUAUGAAUCAAUCAUCAACACUGAUUUUGGCUCUCAUACUUUAUCUAAGGUUAAGAAAGAAAUCAAUAUGGACCUGAUAUUCAUAAAUAGUAGUGAAUCUUUAAGUGGUUUUGAUUAUGAAAACAGAACAAGGUUGAGCUAUGAUCCACUUAAUUGUUUUGAUUCUCAUAAAUUGAAUAUGAACAAGGAUGAUGAAGAUGGUGGAAUGAAUGUUAACCCGAAUGAGGAUAGCCAAGUGAUGCAAAUUGAUGUAAUGGAAGAGGCAGUUAUGGAAUCAUUUAUAGUUGGUUAUAGUGAAACUGGUGAUGACCAUAGAGAAGAACACCUAAUAUACUCCGAUAAGAAAGAAUUGCAUAAGAAGUUGUGCAUGAUUGCGUUGAAAAGAAAGUUUCAGUUCAAAACAUUAAAAUCUUUGACCAAGUUAUUACAUGUUGGAUGUGUCGAUAAAGAAUGCAAGUGGUGACUUUGUGCAAUCAAGUUGGAAAAUUUUGAUCUAUUUCAAAUAAGGAACUAUCAUUCAACACACACUUGUAGCUUGGAUACGAUAUCCCGUGAUCAUCGUCAUGCAAGUAGUCGGUUGAAUGGUGAAAGCAUAAGAGAAAUAUAUCAAGGGGUUGUGGUUGAUGUGGUGAUUAUGGUCAUAACCAAAAGUUGUGCAAACGACCAAUCCCCCUGCAUUAUCAGAAUGAUAAUAGUGGACACACUGAAAUAGGAAUGCAAGAUUGCUCUUUACGAUUAGAGAAUGAAUGAAAUUGUCACUAAGCCAAUUUUAUGGCGAUUUUUUUGUUGUUUUUUGUAGAUGAUGAUUGGGCAUAUAAAAGAUUUUAUAUUGUAAUUUUUUGUAUAUUGUGAAUAAGGACACAAAACAUGUAAUCAUACUGACCGAAAUUUCUCUAUUGUACCAAAAUACUUAGCCUUUUUAUGUAGUAACUCUGGUCAAGAAAAACUAGAGAAAGAGUCACUACGACUUUUGUAGUAUUCCGGGUAUCGUUCUCAAGGACUGGCUUAUGAAAAUUGUCAAUACUAGAAUAAAUGAAUUGUUUUUGUUUAAAUCCUUAAGUGAAAAACAAUAUGUGAAUAAUGUGAAACUAAGUAAAAGAAAUUGGAUUAAUAAGAGAAAAUGAAUAUUGAUUUUAAAUUCAAUUGAUUCAAGUUUGAGGUUUUCCACAAUCCAACCUAGGGUAUAGAAAUUAUAGAAAACAAGGGUAUUUUAAGUAAUAUGAUCUUAGGGUUUUGGGAUCCUUGGCCACUCGCGAUCAAGUUGGGUUCUAUAACUCAAAAUUGCAUCCGAAACCUAAUUUUUCAUUUUUCAAACAUAUUCCUAAAACCAUCAAAUGAAUGAGAUUGAUUAUCAAUUUAAGAUUUGGCUUUUUAACCCUUCCUACUCCUUAUAGCUUUAUUUAAGGGCAAAUAACGGUAGGUAAGGCGAGGAUAACUAAUGAUCAAGAAUUACCAAGAAUCACUAGUAUCAAGUAAUAACCUACCGUAUCAUUCCCUAAACGAACCCACAAGGAUAGGAUAAAAAAAUUGAUAAAUUGUCACCCAACCAAUAAUUAAUCUCAUUGUUAAAAUAAUUUACCCAUUGUCCCUAUAGGUUUCCUAACCCUUAGGUUUUCAUGCUUCAAGCCCCAAGUUGGAUCUUAGCCUCUCAUGGGGGUGAUGUCACAUUCACAAUCCAUAGUAGGGUAAAAAUCCAUAAUUUGAAUCAAAAGAAACUAAAAACAAUGUAUUCAAUAAAGAAGAAAAAUAAAACAAACCAAAGUUCUCGUCUUCUUCCUCCUUCAAUGUCAAAAACUCCAGAAAAAAAAUCCAAGAUUUUCGAUUCCUAAAACCUAGAAUUGAGAGAGUUUAUAUAAUAUCCUCAAUUACCUAACAUGUGGCACACUCUCAUUGGCCACUUAUUACAAAAUAAUUUCCUAAAAAUGAUUAAAAAAUAAUAAAAUUGUGAUUUCUAGUCGUGUGGGGUUCACCUAGGGCGGAUGGAGUGCUUUAGAUGCAAUUCCCGAGGUAGAGGAGGUGGAACAUCAAAGUGGCAGUGGGUGAAUUCGAAAUUGGUGUCAUUUCGAAGUGGAUUUCGAAUUCAUAAGUUGAAUUUCGAAAUCAUUUCGAAAUGACCCUCCAACUUGGUGCAGUUGUCUUCAAAUGGCCAUAACUUCUUCAUUUCAACUCCGAUUUGCAAACCGUUUGAAGUGUUGGACUCCUAACUUCCCGAGCUUCGAAACGAUAUAUAGUAUGUAUAUAAUGGACUCCAGAAAGUGCUCAAAAUUUGUCCUCAAAGUCAGAGUAUAUAAUGCCAUCAGAUUUUUGAGUUCUAAAUUUCCAUACAGCUAAAUCUUGCUUCAUACCUCAUUCCCCAUGCUUUCUUGCCUUCUUUCUUACUCCAUAAUGGUCAUUUAUCAUCCUCCAACCUCAUGAUAUCCUUGUUUUGCCUUUCCUUACGUUCAAUGAGUCUUGACUCACUUAUUUCCUCAUUUAGCCAUUUCUUGAUCUUUCAAAAUCUAAAGUCAUUCAAUUUGCACAAUUUUCUUCCCUUGAACCUGAGAUAAAUCUCCAAAGUAUAGAUUAAACCCAUGGCUAGGGCCUUAGCAUUGAUUUAGGUCAAGUUGGGUGAUUUGAAUGUCCUUUGGUGCACAAAUCAUAUCGAAUAUGUGCCAUUAGAGCACAUAUUUUGGCUCCAAUCACAUACUUUGAUUCAAUCCCUUUUAAUUAAGCGAUGAACUUAAAGCUUAAAAAUGAAGUUUAAGUUCACCCCUCAAUACCAACUCAUUUGAAAUGACAAGUGAACUCUUUAUUUUUUUGGAAUACUAGUCUCAUUAAUAUUUGAUCAUACAUAUUUGGAGAUGUUUAAGUUUAUUUUGCAAAGAACUUAACAAUGGUUAAGUUUUAGUUAAAAAAAAUUUACCUGAACAAAAUUGAAGUUAAGUUUUUUUAAUAAAGAACUUAAUAGGAGUUAAGUUUUAAUUGAGGAUAUUCACCUGAACUGCAUUAGGGUUAAGUUUAAUUUACAAGUAACUUGACACUCGUUAAGUUUGAAUUAAAACAAAUGUCCUGAACUACACUGAAGUUAAGUUUUUUUAAUAAAGAACUUAGUAGGAGUUAAGUUUUAAUUGAGGAUAUUCACCUGAACUACACUUGGGUUAAGUUUCUUUUACAAGUAACUUAACACUCGUUAAGUUUGAGUUAAAAAAAUAUGAUUUGAACUACAUUGAAAUAUAAGUUUCUAUUAUUAUGCUUACUACAAUAAAUUUAAACUUGUUGACAAUCAUAACACAAUCACAUUUAUAAAAUAUAAAAAAAAAUUGCAACCAUUCAUUUCUUUGGAUGUACGACAAACAUGUAACUAUUUAAAUACGUGCUAUAACAUAGGAAUUGGCUAAACAAAAAACUUCAAUGUUAUUACAUAGAAACAUAUUCCACUAUUCAUUUACAAUGGGAUCACAUAGGAAGUUCUUUAUAGAAAAAUAACUCCAUUGUCAUCUUCUCACAAAACCAAUCCAUCCACUCUCCUCUUAGUGUAUCCAUUGGAUGGUUGUGCAUCAGGUAUUCCACAAAUUUGAUAAAAAAAACAUACCACAAUCACCACUGCAUGAACACAAAAAAAGUGAUGUUGAUAAUAUUAAAUAUUAUUGUAUAUAUGAUGAAAUAUGUGUGUUGGCAUGGAAAAUAUUAUACUUACUUAUAUACAAGAAUCAUCAACACAUUAACAUACCAAAUAGUACCAAAAAUACAAACCUUAUCAUUAGAUUCUUUAGUAUUUUUCAUUGAAGAUGAGUUGUUCACUUUCUAGGAUGAUCACUUUUAGAGUUAUACCAAAUUGAAAAUCUAAGUUCUUUUUUCCUUGUCCUUGAAAAAUAAAUAUAAAAAAAAAUUCAAAUAACAAUCAUGAAUUUAGUUAUUAAAAUCCAUAAGUUUAUACUAAAUAUAUAUAGAGAGAGAGAAAAGAAAAGAAAAAAAAGAAAGAAAUAGAGACCAUUGUACAACAUUCUUUUUCAUCACCUUAUAAACAGUUUUUAGAAAUUUGCAUUUGGAUAAAACUUACACUCCAUUUUUCAUUGAAUUCUUUUAAAUGGAUUAUUGAUAAAAAAAAGAUUGCAUAAUGCACAUGAUUUUCCAAUGAGUUCAAACACUUUGGUUAUUCAUGCCUAAAUUUUAAGAACUAAUGAUGAGUCCAUGUCAUAUUACUUUUCCUUGCAUCUAUAUCUAGGUAUGAAUGAAGUUCUAAAGGACCAUCCUUACUUACAGAAAGCGUAUGACAAAAGUAUUUUAGCUAUGCAUAAGCAUCAUCUCACUUAAUAUUUUAGUUGUGAGUAAUAUUUCAGUCCUCAGUUGAAAUCAUUCUUUGCCAUGACUUUUGUUAGAGAUUACUAUUUGAAUGUUGUGGUUUGCAUUGCAGGACCAACUGGGUUCCAAAUUUAGCAAAUGUCACUUAUGAUUUGGUAAAAGAAAAAUGGAAAUUGUAGAUAGGCAAGGGAUGCAAAAAAAUUGUUUGAUGAAAAUUGAGGUUUUCAAUUAAACCAACUUCUUAUCCCUUGGGAAGAGAACUACAAAUAGGAAAAAAUAUUUUUCCCAAACUGUUGAAAAACUAGAUACCCAAUUGGCAAAGGCUAUGAUGAUCUUCAAUUUUGUCAUUGAUAGAAAAGAAUGACUAUUCAUGUAUAUCAGAUUGGUUCCAUUACUUAAAAGUUAAGUAGCACAAAAGAAGAAUAUUUGACCUAAAUGCUCAUAAAAAAAGUAUUGUUUUCACUUUAUGAUAGAAACCAAAACUACUUUAAAAGAGGGGUUUUGAAUUUUGGAAAAGAAAUCAAAACCAUUCUUCCAACACUGCUCAUGGAAAAAGACUUAAAUAACACCUCCAAUAUCUCCCCUUGAGGGGUUUAAGGAAACAAAUUCAUUUUCCUUUGUGGGACAAAUGGAAUGUUUCUUCCGAUCACCAAGGAUGAGAAAUCAAAAUGGAGUCAAAUUCUAUUUCUCUGAUUCUGAUUCAACUCUUUAGAACACCAAAUUGGUCAACACAUUUAUCACUUUUCCACUAGAUUUAUGCUUAAAAGUACAUAUGCAACAAGAACCACAAGAACAAUUUUUUACAGUAUAGAAAUAGAACAUUUGCUACAACAUCAUGCUUCAAAAUCUUAACAAGUAGAGCAAAACAUCAAAAUAAAAUAGUCAAGAAAUCUAAUUAAAGACAUUUUUUUUUCAAUUCAACUAGAUAUCUUCUUUGGUAGACCAAUGUGUUUUCAGAGUUCAAAAUCAAAGAGGAAUAGGCUAACAAAUUUAAGAAAAACUCUUAAAUUUAUGUUUAACAAAAAGUGAACAUAUAAACCCAUUACUUUAUCCUGCUUUUUUUUUUCUGAAACAAUGCAAAAAGAAAACAUACACAUCAAGCAAAUGUAUGAAAUCAACAAAGAGAAAAAUCUAAAAAAGCAAACUAUUUCAAAGUAAUAAAUGUACUUUUCAAGAAAGGGAAUAGGUAAAGUAUAAAUGAGUGGAACAACCAUGGCAUAGCCCUAAAUGGAAAGGGAGCCACAAGUGGAGGGGAUUGUGAGGUAUAUAGGGGGGAGAUAUGAAAAUUGAAAUGACCCAUGAGAAGGGAGAGGAAGAGGGAGAGAAAUAAGAACAUAAAUAAAUGAGGAGAAGAUGAAAGAGUAUGCAGAUUGUGGAGAGAGAGCAUAUUACUCUUUUUGUCAUUCUUAGUCCUCUUUCUUUUUGUAAGCUUCUUGUCCUAGGCUUUGAUUGGUUGAAGGAGUUAAUUUUCCCUUGGAAAGUGGCAUGUUAGGGGUUUAAAUGUCGAGGAUCAUGUAGAGCUUAUCAUUGGUUGGUUAGGCCUAUGAUGAGUGGUGUGUGCUUGAUUAGCAUGAGGGGCCUCCUAUUGAUGGGAUAGAACAAAAUUCAUUUUGGGAUGUUCCUUGUACGCAUCUUGUCACAACCCUUGGUGUUUAUGCCUUAUAGGCUUUGCAAGUGACCUGAUGGACUUUAUCUAGCUUUGCUUCCCAAAUGCCCAAGUUCAACCUCUUGAUCUCUUAUGAAUUUUCAAGAACUGUUUUCUAUUUUAGUAGGUUUAGAUGUGCUCUUGAGCCAUGAGCUUUUGUGCGAAUGCCAGAAAUCAAAUUAUGGGAUCGGACACUAAUUCCCAAACUUAACGAGGUAUUUGAAAUGAUAAGGCUAAUGGAUUGAUAGUACUUGUCGACUUGAAUAGGUCAUUCUUUGUACCUGGUACGUUCGGUCAUAGUAAAAAUAUUUUUAAAAGAAUCACCAUAAAGAAUUUCUUCAUGAAGUAUAAUAAGUAAUUUUAAAAUUUUUUAAAAGUAUUUUAAAAUUUUUGUUAGAUGUUUGAUUUUUUUUUUCUAUUUUUAAAUGCAUUUUUAAUAGAGAUGAUUUCAAAAAAACCAAAAAGGACUAAUUUAUUAAUCAUUAUUAACCAUAGAAGUACAUGGCACAUAAUCACACACCAACCCAGAAGGCCUAAUCCACAUGCAAAUAGCCCACAAAUCCUAAACACAAAUCACUCAAAGGGGGAAGAGAGGCCAAAGAUCAAAGGCCAAAUUGAUAUAGGAUGAUGACAGAAGAGAGGGAGCAAAAACACUUCGAAUUUUUUCCUUUCCCUUUUUUUUUUUCAUCUGAUCUGGAAAUGCUUAUAAGAAGAGGUUCCAGGGAGGUUGAUCUCAACUCUGCCUGCAGCUCUUUCCUCGGCUUGCCUGCACUGAUUUUCCUUCUCUUUCCCGCCUGACCCUUCUGCAUUCUGAGACUCCGAUGCACCCUUCCUCCGCCUCUCAUUGUGGCCGGCCAACCGCCUCCGGCAACUCCUCUUGGCUUCAUCAAACUCAGACAACUCAUGGAACCUGUGAAAGAACUGAUCAUCAUACAUGGAUGAAAUAUAAAAACCAUCUGCAGAUUUUCAAUUAUCAUCAUGAAAUGAUGCCAAAAACACAGGAUUCAUCGGUUUCAAGAGUGUGAAAAUCAAACUCCAACAUAUAUAAAUUGCAGAGAAAAAAAGGGAAAGUUUUACAACAUUGGAUUCAUUUGUUUGAACAGAAAAUCUUCAGGGAAAAUUUGGGGUUCAGUGAAAGUAGUUUUUUUGUUGAAGAAAGGUAACUGAGGUAAAUUAAUAUAGGACAUGCCCAUAUUUUCCAUCAAAACAAACAGGAACGCAAGUUUAUUUGCAUACAACAUAGAAUUGAAUAGGGGACUGCAUUCAAUUCAAUGCUGAAAAAAAUGUAUGGAAAACCCAAAAAAAAAGUCCAUAAAAUAUCAGUCCAAAUAAAUGAAACCCUAAACCAAAAUUAAAUUCUUUCCAAUGAAAUUAAAACUUUCUAGGAAUACUUUCCUUGGAAACAAACAGAUAUAUAAAUAUAUAUAGUUAGCUAAAGAACCAAGUAGGGUUCCUCAAGACCUGCUGCAUUGCUGACAAAACCGCUGCCGGAGCCCGGCCACCUCAACCAUCGCUGCCUUGGCAUGAACCUCACAGACCUUAUGCCGUCGAUGAUACCGCUUGGCAUCAGUCAAGUCAGCCCCACACUUCUCCGCCUGGCAGCAGGGCGACCCCACCCCACCACCACCACUCCGGCUACCUGACACAGCAGCCACCGUUUUCUUCUUCUUGUUAAUACCAUCAUCAUCCUUAAACAGCGCCCUACCACCAUAAGGGUAAUCAUCAUCAUCAUCUUCUUCUUCUUCAAAGUCAAAGUCAAUUGCACCAGUCUCUUGCUUUGGCGCAACUUUUUCUUUGAAAGCAAGCUUGGUUUCCAGGGCUUUUGGGGUGGUAGAAGACUUGGAUUCCAUUGUAUGAGAGGCUGGUAAGGAGGAGGAGGAGGAAGAAGAAGAAGAAGGAAAAAGUUGGUGAAGGCAUAUGAUGGAAAAAGGUCAAAAAAGAGGAGGAGAAGUGAGGGUGUGAGGACCACAAGACCAGCUGCUCCAUAUUUCUCCGUGUUUUUUGUCAGUCUAGGUUAGUGACACAGUGAAUGAUGGUUAAAGGACUUUAAACAAGAGGGGCUCUGCUCAUUUUUCAUUUUUGUAAUUCCCUCUGAAUUCCUUUGUCACCUUUUACUGAAUGUAUUUGCAGUUGCCCAGUGAGAUGUUCAUUCUCCAAACAAAAAGGAAAGUGAUUUAUAGCAUGUGGAUAAAAUGCAAUACAUUAAUCUUAGUAUUUAAUUUCGCGGAGAGGUCAAGACUGAGACCCGAUUUUCUUUUUUUCAUAAAAUUAAUAUCAUACAUGUUACAUGUCUGUUGAAGAAGCAAAUUGGGAUACGACUCUUACUAGAAUGUAAAUAAUGAGUAAUUCUUUGGUAUUACUCGCCUUGCCAUGCAAAGGGUGAGCAUGAUAUUCAUUCUUGACAUGAAAAAAAGAGUUACAACAUGUGCAUAGAAUCUAAUACAUUAAUCUUAGUAUGUAAUUUAGUCGCAAAAUCUUAGAGGGGUCAUGGCUUCAAUUUUUUUUUUUCAUUAAAUUAAUAUUAUAUAUGUUAGAUGUUUAUCGAGAUAUGCUCUAACUAGAAUGUGGAGGAUGAGUAAUUCUUGGUAUUACUCUUGUUAUAAUGCAAGGGAUACGAGAAAUUAUUUGAUUUUGUAUUUUUAGGUGAUUUAGUUAAGAAUGAUUGGAUGACUUAAUUUACUAAAGAUCUUAAUUAAUUAAGAGGUAUUUAAUUAGAGUCCUUACAUUAGCAUGGUCUUUGAAGUAAUUAUUCAACAAUGUAUCUUAGUUUUGUUGAAUUUUUAGGUUUGGUUCAGCUCUUGAAAAGUUUUAAAGAAGAUAUGAAACGGAGAAAAAUAUAGUAGGAAAAAAAUGAGGAAAAAUAAAAUAUAAACUUAAACUUAAUAAAAAAAUUUCAAAUACUUUCCUAAAUUUAUUUAUUUUUCUUCUUUACUUAAAGAAUAAAGAAUCGAAAUAUAACUUUUAAAUAAUUUUAACUUUUAAUUAUAUUUAUUCCACUUCAUCUUUUUAAUACUAUACCUAAUAAAAGAUAUCGAUUCAAUUUUUUUCUUCUUUAUGGAAUUUUUGUAGCAAAAAUAAAGCAUUAUGGCUUAUAACUAUAGAAUAUUUCACUACCAAAAAUGAGUCUUCCACCUUCCCAACAUCACUACCAUCAUGUUAUUUUCACAUAUUAAUAAAGGGUUCAUGAUAAGGUGGGGAUAAGACCUUAUCCUUAGGCAACCUUUUUCCAUAAUCUUUAUAUACAUAGAUGAUCAUAAAUUCAACAAAUUUCAUGAUUUUAAAACUUUUCUACGUAAACAUUACGUCACAAAAUUACAUGACCAAAUAGUUGCUUUAUAAUUGGUGAUCAACUUUAAAUUAAUGAUCUGAUAUCAUUUAUAAGUAUUAUUUUAUUUAAUAUAAAUAUAUUUAAAAUGUGUUAUAACUUAUAAGUGAAGAGUGAUUUUAAUUGAACAAAGUAUAUAAAAUUCAGCUGAAAGUAAAGAAAAGACAAAAAAGAGUAAAGAGCCGUACAAAUGGUAGAAAAUAAUAGUGGGUAGGGGCCAUGUACCCUUGUAUGGGAAUUGAGUUUUGUGCAAGAUUUAUAUCAUUGCUGGCAAACUGGUACCAAACCCACCAGCACAAUCCCAACUGCUUGGUGGGUUUCAUCCACAUCAAACUAAUCUCAAGUAUUUUUUAAAAAUCAAUAACCUAUUUUGUAACAUUAUUUUCUAAAACUUUAUAGAAUAUCUUCAAAACAAUUCCCAAAAAUUGGUUUUAUUAAAAAUAAUUUCAUUUACAAACCCAUAUAAAAAAAUAUUUUUUUAAUUAAAAGUGAGUUUUAUAUUGAUUUUAAAAAGUAUUUUAACUUUUAAAAUAUUUAAAAAAUAAAAAAUAUAAAAAAUAUAUUUUUUUAAAUCACUAUCAAAUAAACUCUUAAUAUUAAAUUAUUUAAUUCUAAAAAUCAAUGUUACAAACAAAUUUCAAACCGAUUACUAGAAUCUGGCAUCAUGUUAAUAUCAAUCCAAAAUUAUUGUAGAAACAUUUACUGUAUCCUACUUUCUGAUAUCUAGAAUGAGCUUGCACCUCCAAGAAAUAGGGGAGAUCUCAAUGGGCAGAAGCCAAAACCCUAAAUAAGAGGGGCAAGGGAGUAGUUGAGAGGGACAGCUCAGUAAUGGAGGGACCCCCCUUUAGAAGGGCCGUACAGCACCAAUGUUUCACAAAAUUGAAGUCUCUGAGUUGGACACAGCAGUGCAGCACAGUGUCCUAUGCUACUCCUUUCUUUAUUAAUCCCUAGCCCCUGGCUUUUAUUCAUCUCUCUCCUCUCCUCUCCUCUUCUCUUUGCCACAUCUUGGAUCUGUACUACCAACAUCCUCUAAUAUCAUCUCUCUUAAGAAUUCAAUGAAACCCCGUAUCUGUUUCAUUGUAAGGAUGGGCCAUGUGUUAUAACUCUAACUCAAGGCGUUUUGUUGUCCAAAUUUUUCACGAUGGGUCAUGGAAAAAACUCACACACAUGAUCAAUCAUGAAAAACACUGGUUAAUUGGUCAUAAUUGCAGUAUAUGGUGUGAUUCAGUGGGCUUUGUAAUCUCCCAAAUGGGGGAAUUAGAUGCAGAGCUUAGCCUGAUUUUGGUUGAAAGGCAACAAGUAGUUGAGAUGAGAGUAUGAAAGAAGGGUACAAAGGGAAACAGGAAGGGAAAGGUUGGGGAAAGAGAGUAGUCCUAAGUACUAACAUGGAGAAGACAGGGUCAUAAGUAAAUGGACAAAGUUAUAAAGAUUGGGGCAUGGGAGGGGGACUGGGGAGGGGGAGAGAGAGAGAGAGAGAGAGAGAGAGAGAAGUUUUGGCAUGAAAUGUUGUUAUGUUGCAGCAAUUAUUAUGAGCAGGAGGAGGACAAAAUUGUGCAAUUGACAUGACCCAACACCCAUCAUUUCACAUGGCUCCCUUGAGCAACUGUACCAUAUGAAAAGUCAGCCUAGUUGUAAAUUUGUAAUGUAAGAUCUCAGAACUCAGUAGUCAGGUACCCAUACCUCACACUCACAUGUCCUACUUUUAUGUUUAUUUAUUUAUUUAUUUAUGUUUGGUGAUGGGUAAAAUUUUUUUGAGAGAAUUACCCAAUAGGUUGGACAAAAUAAUUAUUAGAAAAGAUGAUAUCUUUUAAUAAUUAUUGGGGAUAACUUUAAUAAGUUUAAUAUACUAAAACUGUCAUUUAACUAAAACUUUUAAAAUUCAAAGCAUUUAAAACACUUUUGUCGAUACAUUUAUGGUACAUGGGUCCCACAUUUAUUGUAAUUAUUGAUAUUUAAAUUUUAAAUCAAAAUUUUGGGUUUAACCCUUACAAUUAUAUAUAAUUUGUUAUUUAAAUUUACUAUUUAAAACAAAAAUACUUUUAAAAAAUAUUUUCAAAAUAUCAUUUAUUAUUUUUUUACAUUUUUUAUUUUUAUUCUAAUUUUUAAUUUUAUGAAGAAAAAAAUAAGUUUUAUAAUUAUAUAAUAAAAAUGAUGAUUUUUUCAUAUAUAUAUAUAUAUAUAUAUAUAUAUAUAUAUAUAUAUAUAUAUAUAUAAUUUUAAAUUGAUAAAUUAUAUUUUUGUAUUAAAUUUAAGGAAGAUAAAAUGUUUAAUUUUUCAUUUAGAUUCUCUAAAAAUAAUAAGAAAAUGAUAAAAAAAUGUUUAAUCAUUUUUUUUUAUAUAAUAAAAUAAUUUAAAAAAAAUUAUAUGAUUUUUUUUCCUUUGCAUAAUGUUUUUAUUUAUUUUAAUUUUCAUAUAAAUUUUUUUUCUCAAUGUAUCGAGUAGAUGAUGUUAAUAUAUUUGAUAUGUUGAAUAUUAAUAAGGUAUAAAAGGUGAUCCUUAAUAUUAUUAUUUUUAUUAUACAAUACAAGCACAACAAAAAUAUGUUAUAAUUGCAAUAUAAAUACACUUACAUUAUAAUACAUUACAAUAAAACCUAAUUAAGAAAUUUAUGAAUUUUUUUAUAAAAAUGGUAAUUUUGUAUGAUCAUACCAUAUUUCACAACAUACCUAUAUCAUAAAUAAUUUCUGAAAUCAAAUGAAAUACUAAUUUGAAUUCACGUAGUUUAUAUAUAUAUAUAUAUAUAUAUAUAUAUAUAUACAAAAAUUAUUAAAUAAUUUCAAAAUACUAAAUAAAUGUUGUUAAUAUAUUAAUACGAUGUGUUAAUACCAAUAGGGUAUGAAUAAACAUUUUUAAAAUUAUUACUUUUAUAAUGAAAUAUAGGUACGACAUAAAUGCAUUAUACUUACAAUAUAAAUGCACUAUCAUUACAAUAUAUUAUAACAUAAUUUAAUUUAUUUUUAUUUAAUUUUUUCACGUGCUAUGUUACCCAAUAAAUAAUUGUGAGUUAUUCCAUUUAAUAGGUGUGUGUUAGUCAAUUGAAUAUUUAUAUAUUAUUCAAUUGAUGAGUGCUCAUUAUUUAUUAUAUUAUGAUAACAAAGUUUUUAAUUGUAUGUUUUAUAUAUAAAACGAUAUAAUAACUUUAGGAUAUGGUUUUUAUUUAUGAGAUAUUAAAAAAAAAAAUUUUACAAGAUUCUUUAAAAAAUCUCAAUUUAAAAAAAAAAAACAGAUUUUUAAAUAGUUAAUUAUUCAAAAGUGAUAACAAUUUUUUCAAGUUGAAAAAUGUACCGUUGAUUGCCUAUCAACAUGUACUUAUCAUCAUGUAUGAGUCCCACAUCAUUUAUCAACUUGUAUUUAUCAUCAUGUAUGAGUCCCACAUCAUUGACAAUCUCAAUUUAUUUAUAAAUAAUAUAAAAAACAUAUUAAAGGGUAAAAUUGUCUUCUAAAAGAGUGAGCCUUCAUGGUCAUUAUUUUUUCUAACCCACCAUUUUGGGUAAUUCUCCCAAUUUUUUAAGCCAUAUCACCUCUCCAUAAAACAAUUGAUUGAAAAUAUGACAUAUAUAUAUAUAUAUAUAUAUAUGUAUUUACAUGAUAUGUUUGAAUAGGCUCAAUUUCUCAUAUAAAUUUCUACCUUUGGUUUCAUAAAUUUUGCGAAACAAAUAUAAGGAAAAAAAUUAAAGAGAAAAUAUAUAAAAUAAAUAAAUAUGAAUAAAAUUUAAAAAUAUGUUUAAGGUAUAUAAAUUAUUUUUAUAUUCCACUUUAAACUUAUUUAAUUUAUUUUAAAUUUUUAUAUAAAGAUUUAAUAAUUUUAAAAUAUAUAAAUUUCUAGUUAAUUUUAAUUAUAUUUGAUAUUUUUAAUAAUUUUCAUAUUACAAGAAAACCAUUUUCUUUAACAUUUUUUUUUCCUUCAUGGUACUUUCUAGAAAUAUUAAAAACCCAAAAAAUUGUGAUGAAGAUAAAAGUUGAAUACAACUUAGAAAAGUUUUGGUUUUUACCAUUUUCUCUCUUAUUUCUCAAACAAAUUUACAAAUAGAGUUUUCUUAUAAAUAUUUACUAAAGAAAUGAAAAAAAAUAAAAAUUAAAUUAAAAUUUUUUUAAACAUAAACCAAAAUUUAACUAUAUGCAUUUAGGUGGUAUUUGUUUUUUAAAACUUAAUUUUAAAUAAAAUUUAAAACUAAUCACCACUUAAUAGUAUUAAGUAUUAAAUUAUUUUUUAAAAAAUAUUUUAUCUUUAUUAAAUGAUAAAAAAAUAAAAAAUAAAAACCAAUAAGUUAUUAUUAAUAUUCAGAUAUGUUUGGUUCUUUGAAAAUACCAAAGGAAAAAAAAAAUUAAGAAAAAUGGUUUUUUAAUGUUUGGUUUUAUUAUGAAAAAAAAUCAAAUAUAAUUAGAAAUUUAUAUAUUUUAAAAUUAUUUAAUCUUUAUAUAAUAAAAAAAAAUAAGUGAAAUGAGUUUGAAGUAACAUUUAAAAAUAAUUUACUAAUUUUGAAUCUUUUUUUUUUUCCUUAUACUUUUUCUUUCUAUUUUCUUUUUUUCGCAUUUUCCCUCAAAUUUUCUAGGAACCAAACAUAGUCGUAAACUUCAUAACAUUUAGCUCUAUUCACAUUUCAACCAAUAAAAAAAAAAAACAAAAAAGUGGCAUAAUUGUUUCUCCACAAAAAUGUUUAUAAUAAAAAUGUCAAAUUCUAUGAGUUAAAAAAAAAAAGUUUGAAACGGUUCUUAGCUUGUUAGUACACGCACUUAUGUACCAUGCAAAACUUUUGAAAAUGUUUUCUAUACUUUUAAUUGUUGCUCAAAAUACUUUACAAAAACAUCUAAAAAUUAUUUUUAAAAACCUUUUUUUUUCUUUAAUCAAAAGUUCAUCAAACAUAUUUAAAAAUAAUACUCUCCAAACAGGGCCUACAUUUCUAAGAAAAUGACCUCCAAAUGGGCCCUCUCUGUGGGCCUAGUUAUUAUCCAAAUGUAGAUAGAGGAAACCCCAAGUGAUAUGGGCCAAAGAAAGUUGUAUCUGCGGGCCAAAGAAUUUGGUGUUUUGCAGAGCAUAGGGACCAAACUUAACAAAAAUAUAUUCAUGUGCACAUUCACAUGCUAGUCCAUACUGAAAAGUGUAUGAUGGUGGUGAGUAGAAGACGAAUUGGUGAUUAUGACCUUCUCCAUUUGAGCCCCAUUCAGUCACUUUCCAAUGGGGUACUUCCUCCACCUUGUUAGAAUCUCACAUUUCUAUCAUCUUUCCAACAUUAUCUUGUUAUUUAGGGAUAAGAAAUCGACAGGGCAUUGGAUUCAUUGAUUUUUCAUCCAUACAACUCCAUUAAUUUUAGGAAAAUGCAAAUUACUACUGAAUUCCUCGGUUGAAUCGGUGAAUAUGUGUGACAAAAUCUAAACCGUCGAAUGAGGAUACAAACUUAUAAAACCAAGGUAUAAAGGCACAAACAAAUGGAAUCGGGGAGUGCAUAUGUGACACCAUUUGAUCGAUGGCACCUCAAUGUAUAAUUUGAUGCCAUAGUUUGACCCUUAUUUAUAAUUACCACCAAUUGAUGCAUUUGAAUAAAAUUUAAAUCUAAUUUUUUAAGAGUGCGUUUGACAAUGAUUCUUAAAAGUGUUUCUAGUCUUUUUGAUACUUAAACAUAAAAAUUUUCAAGUGUUAAAAAAGACUAGAAAUACUUUCCAGAAUCACUACCAAACGCACUCCAAAUACGACACAAUUUGCAACUAUUUGUAAAUGAUUUUGAUAAAAAUGCUUUUCUAAUAUUACAUAAUAAAUAAAUAAUUUUUAGAAGAAACACUUAUUUAGAACCCGUUUAGUAAUGUUUUUAGAAGAUAUUCCUGACAUAAAAUAUUUUGGGUUGGGUACUUUGAAACCACCCAUCUAGAACCCAAGCCCUAAUUCGCCCAAUGUUGUAUGGGAUUUAAAUGGCCCAAAUCUUAGCCCACAUCCCAACACUUAUCUUAGCCCAAACAUUUUAGGCACCAAACUUGGAACCAACUGCAUUUAGUCAUGGAUUCAACCUACCAUCUAACUUUUCUUGACAUAUUUCACAAUAUGCUUGAACCUUUUCUAGAGAACAUAUGAAAGAAAAGUAGGACUGGAUUUUUGGGUACCUACCCUGCCCCUAAUAGGACAGGUUUUCCACACCAUAGGCUUUGGUUUUUAUGGGGUUUCAAUCUUAUCAGAACAACUUUUUCCAUCUACAAAGUUAUCUUUGCUAGCAUUUUAUUCUUAAACCAAAGGAAUCACUUUCCUUUUUCAAAAGUAACUUUAAGUCCAUUCUUACCGAUUCGAGGAAAACGAUCCAUGAGAAUAACCCGCAUGCAGAAAAUGUGGAGUUGAUUUCACAUCAGAAUGCGGAACGGGCUAUUGGCCAUUGCAUGUAAAGUCAAAAGAGGAUCUCCUUGUCUCAAACCUCCUUCACCUAACCAUAAAAAGAGAAAUAAUAAGCACUUAACAAGCAUAUUAGGAUAAGCUUCCCUUAGUUCCAUUCAACUAUUGAUAACUUGCUUUAGCUAUAAUUGUCAGAGGGAGAGAAUCCAAUGUGUGAUUUUCCCUUUUCAAUAGGAAGAAUCCCAUGUCUCAUUCACAGGGAUCUCUUUGAACCAAACAAGAAACAGUUUCUUGCUUCCCUUAAGAUAAGAAAAUUGCAUGGCAUGACAACAAUUGGUUUUCAGUUUUCUUUUCUCACCAAGCAAACAUGAUUUUUUAAAUGUCCUUUGAUUUGAUCUCAGUUAUCUCAGUUCCUCUGUCUGUUAAUAAUAAAGUGGAUAACAAGAUCAUCAACAGGAGUGCAAUUUUGGGCCUGUUUUGGAUUGUUUUUGGAAACAGUUUCCAAAACAUGGUCUUUAAGAAUAAUUUCCGAAAACAGUUCUAUGAUGUUUUCUAAAACAAAAGUCUACUUAAAAAAAUUUCUCUAACAUGUUUUCUUUGUUUUCAAAUAUUUCUAAAAAAUAAUUUUUAUUUAUAAUGCUUUAUUUUUAAUCAUUCUCCAUUUGGUACAAUUAUUUUUUAAACCAACCUUUAAAAAACACGUGAAAACAACUUAAAAUAAUUAAAAUAUGCUUUCCUUGAAUCAGCAACAUCAAGACCAAUAUAUGAAAGACAGGGUAUUCACAAGGGGGAUAAAAGAGAAAAAGCAACCAUGCCUUCUGGGGUUUUGCAGAUAUCGAUCUUUUUACAAGCUCCUUGUGCUGCUGAACAGGCCCUGAUUAUGACAUUUCAGAGCAUCUGCAAGAUGUUGUAGGUUUAAGAUCUGUGUCCAAAGCCUUCUGCAAAAUAAGGUGGAUUGGGGUUGUUAAUAUGGAAGACUACAAAGGAACAAAAAAACUGAAGCAACAAUGGUAAAAGAAAUCAUAAACAAAAUACUCUGCUUUCAGUCAUACUACCAUUCAUGCAUUUACCAGAGGUCCAGAGUCUAGUUUACAACAAACAUUGAGGAAAAGCUCACCUGAACUUCCCGACUUUUACCAGAUUUGAGUAUGGCAAGAUGCCUAAUUAAGUCCUACAAACAGAAAAUGAAGGUUGCAUUCAUGAACCAGAAAUAACAGUAGAGAAAUGGAACUAUAAUCCAUGAAAUCUAAAAAUAAUCUUAUACAUUUGAUCAGCUAGACUCAAUUCAUAUGCUAAGAAAGGAAGAAAGAAAAUGAGCUAAUUUCAAAUGCUAUAAACAAUGGAAGGCUUUCAUUUUCACAAGACAUUGAAAAUGCCCCCAAUUGAUGAAGAUUUUAUAAGAAAUUUAGACAAUCUAUAAUGGUUAUUUUAGGUGGAAGAAAUGGCCAAACUGGCCUAGGUAUACAAAGUUCAAGCCUGUCAGUAUACAGUACCAAAGGAUUGUUUAUAAAGAAAUGCCCCCCCAAACUCAUAGAAACUUUAAAUCCUGUUGCUUUACAGUUAUACAUGAUGUAAAUCCCAAAGGAAGCUGAGCUCCAGAAGAGGAAAACACAGAAAUGAAAUUUGCUGUUACACGCCCUCCUUUCCAACAGCAUCAAGCCAUGAGACAACUUGAUCGAUUGAGGGUCUCUGCCUUGGAUCUUGGUCUAUACAUCUACAGGCAAUACCAAGCACUUCUAAGAACUGCUUCUCACGAUCCUUAUCCCAAACCGAUGAAUCCAUAAUCUGCUCCUCUUUCUUCUCUGAUUUCAUCUGAAACACCCAUGACACCAAGUCCCUACAAUUUUUUCCUUUGCAUACUUCCACAGGCCUCCUACCAGUAAGAAGCUCGAGAAGAACAACACCAAAGCUGUAAACAUCACCUUUGAAGGUUGCUGUUAAUGUCUGACUAUAUUCAGGAGGAAUAUAACCCAAAGUCCCAACCAAAUCCGUUGUUACAUGAGUAUCAUAAGGCCGAAGUAGCCUUGAGAGACCAAAAUCUGCUAAAUGAGCUUCAAAUGUUUCAUCCAAAAGAAUGUUGCUAGAUUUAAUGUCUCGAUGAACUACACUUGGCUCACAAACCUUGUGCAAGUAAGCUAAUCCCCGACCUGCUCCUUGAGCAAUCUUGACUCUUGUGUCCCAUGUAAGAAAUGAACCUCCAUCAACUCUUUCAUGCAGCCAAUAGUCCAAGCUUCCAUUCUCCAUGUAGGAGUAAAUUAACAAUCUAUCAUUACCAUGCCGGCAAUACCCUUGAAGAGAAACAAGAUUCUUAUGCUGAGCUCUUGAGAGGGCUUCCACUUCAGCUCGAAACUCGCGCUCCAUCUGCCCGCAAUCCCCAGAAAGCCUCUUGAUUGCAGCCCUUGUGCCAUCAGGAAGAUUGGCUUUGUAAACCAGACCAAAUCCACCACAACCAAUUAUAUUUGCUUGGUUGAAAUUGUUUGUUGACUUCAACAAGUCUGCUACUGAGAGAUCCUUGCAACCUGAAUUCUGAAACAGGACCAGCUUUGAAGACCCAAGCACUUCAGAUAGCCUGUGUGGCCGGCUGAUUUCCUCAUCCAGAUCAACGAUUGGAUCCCCCACAUCUCUCCUUGACAUUCUAAGCCAAACAACUGCCAGAAGUAAAGCAAUCCCAACUCCUACACUGAUUGUUAUUCCAAAGAUACUGCCUUGACCAAAUUUACCAUUCGAGCUUGCUCUGAUCUCUGGUUUCGGGUCCAUAGUAUCAUCAGUGUCACAAGGAAUAUACACUUCUCCACAGAGGCCAGGGUUACCCUCAAAGCUCGAGUUGGGAAAGCUUAGGAACUGCCCCCCAGUGGGAAUCAUUCCACGCAACUGAUUGUCAGCCACACUGAACUUUGAUAGGAAAGUGAGCUUGUUCAAUGAUGAAGGGAUCUCCCCAUGCAGGUCAUUGCAUGAUAAAUCCAGAACUUCCAAAUUUCCCAUGUUCGAAAUGGAGUCAGGGAUGGUACCUGUAAUGUUGUUUCUGCUCAAAUCUAAGACGUGGAGCUGUUUAAGUUUCCCAAUUUCAGGCCAAAUUGUCCCAUUAAUUCUGUUAUUGCUCAGGAAUAUUGAUGGAGGGAAACUUGAGACCUGGUUGUAUUGCAAACCAUUUGCACUCUGGUUUCGCUUCACAUAUAGUGGAAUGCCUGCAGAAGUAGUAAUAUUUGACGAGUUACAUUUUGUGAAGAUAAGGCUCUUCAGCUCCGUCAAGCUUUUCGGUAUUCGUCCUGUGAGCGAGUUAUUAGAGAAGUCCAAGUAAAACAAAUUCUCCAUUUCACCAAUCCAAGGAGGGAUACUCCCAUCCAAGUGAUUCCACGACAAAUCAAGGACUUGCAACUUCUUGCAAUUCAAUAACCAAUAUGGGAUUUGGCCACGAAGUGCACAAUACCCAAGUGCGAAAAUCAUUAAGCUCUCAAACCCCUUCACAUUCUUGGGAAUUUCUUCUCCAUGGAAAUUCUUAGUAAGGAUAAGAGUGGUAAGAUUUUUGCACUGCUGCAGUACAGAUAAUGCCUCAGUCAAGUUCACAAAACUGUUGUUCGACAACGUGAGAACCGAAAGGUAUUUGAGGUUUGCAAAACUUUCAGGGACCGGGCCUCGUAAAUCAUUCUUAGCAAGGCUCAAGAGUUUCAAUUCCCUACAACUAGAGAGUGUGUUUGGCAGGAAACCAGAAAAAUGAUUUGUGGCAAGAUCAAGCGCACAGAGAUGUGGCAACCCAGUGAAAUUAAGGUCAAUACGACCUGUUAGGGAAUUGUUUCGAAGAUCAAGCACUCGAAGCUUUGAGCACAAAGCCAAGGUUGAAGGCAGCACCCCAUAGAAUGAAUUUGAGUGUGCAAUUAAUAUUUCCAGUUGUGUAAGGUUCCCAAAUACAUUCGGAAUUGGACCCCUGAAUCGGUUUCCAAAUAUAACCAAGGCUUUAAGGCUGUGGAGCUUACUCAAUUUUCUGCUUAAAUGGCCGGAGAAAUUGUUGCCGGGGAUCGAGAGCUGCUCCAAAGAUGGCAAUGAAAACAAAAACUCUGGAAGCUGGCCUGAAAGAGAAUUGUAAUCCACAUGCAGGUUCUGGAGAGAUGUAAAGCUGCAGUUGCCUAAGCCUUCAAGCCCCCCUGUGAAAUGGUUCAUUGACAAAUCAAUCAUCUGAAUUGCAUUAGAAGAACUGCAAAACUGAGAACUGAUACUGCCAUUGAAGAAAUUGUUGCUUAUGUUGAACACAACAAGAUUCAGAAACCCUCCAACUCCCAAGAAAUCCCCACUGAAUAAAUUGCUUGAAAUAUUGAGUGACUUUAUAGAUUUCAAGCCAAGAAGGGAUCUUGAAACUGGUCCCAGGAGCUUGUUGUAGCUCAAAUCAAGAACUUCCAGCUGAUGCAGAUUUGAGAGCUCCAUGGGUAAUUCACCAUCUAGUUGAUUGCUUGAAAGAUCAAGGAAUUUCAAAUGAUCUAAACGACCCAAAGCUGUUAAAUUCACUCCUUUGAGGCCUUUGUGGGGCAGAAUCAAGCUAGUGACUCUACUAGCAACCGACCCAUUAUUAGAAUCCUCACAACCAACACCAUCCCAUCUACAGCAGUGAGAAUCAUUGGACCAAAGGAAGAAAAUUGACCCAUUGGUGAGGUUUCCUGCAAAUUCCUUCAGUGCACGCAAAUCAUUUGGAUCACAGGAUUGGGUUAGGUUUGGAAUUUGAAGGCUUAAAGAGGAACAAACAAGACAAGCCAACAAUGCCCACUUGAGGAAAGUCAUUGGAGUGAAUUCCAGCAUCACCAUUGCAGAAAUCAAAGGAGAUGCCCAACUCAAAUCAAGGCCAAGACACCCCUAUAAACUGAGUUCAACCUGAUGGGUAAUGGGCAUGCACUGCUUUUCAGAAGUGAGAAGAAACACAAAUGGUGAAACUUGCAUACUCACAUCCUAAAACCAAAACACCUCCCACAAAAGAGACCCAACCAACAAGUUCCAAGUGAAGCAGCUAUCAAACGUCAGAUCAACUGUGAUUACCAACUCCCACCUGAAAUCAAAUCCAUAGACCACAAAUCAAGGAAACUCAAAACCCUAGUUGCAGUGAACAGGGACUGCCUCUUAUAGAAAGAGUGAAGAAAACCCAAAUGGAGAAACUCAACCCAUAACCAAAUAAAAAACCCAACUAUCAACAACAACUUGCAUGUGAAGCAACAAUCACCGGUAAGACCAGCAUAGAUCCCUAGUCCCCACCAUAACCCCAAAGUCAUAAAACCCAGAACCCUAGUCUCAAGUACAAUAUGAUAUUGGUGAACUACCACAUCCCCAAGUGGAAAACAAGAUACAUUAAAUAUUAUUAAAAAAAAGGGGGAAGAAGAUAACCAUAUGAAGAAACUUCAAGCCCACAUCCCAAUAACACCUCAGAGACCACAAACACCAACACCCCCAACUUGCAAGUAAAGCAACAAUUACCAGUAAGACCCAAUGAGGAACGCCAACUGACACCAAAUCCCCAGAUCAAAGAUCAGCAAAGAAGAGUAGCAGGAGCGCAGAAAAGAAAGCAACCAACUUUUCUACUCUAGACCUGUGUACCAAAGCCUUACAAUGAACACCCCCAGAGAUACAUCCCAUUUCAGUACCCAUCACUUGCAAGUGAAGCAACAGCCCCCUAUGAAGCCAACAUCAAGUAGCAGGUAGCAGGCAGCAGCCAGCCACUUUUCCACAACUGGGUCAUCCCACAAUUUCAAACCAAACCAAACUCCUCCUCUCUUUCUCUCUCUCUCUCCCUAGAAAUUUUAAACAGAAUCUAGAGAAAGAAAAAUGAAGAGGGAAAAAGAAGGAAAAAGAAAGAAGAGAUUUCAAAUCAAAGGAACAGUGUUCAACACACCAUUACUAUUAGUCUAUUACUCACUGUGUUACAGAAAAGGGAGGCUGUCCUUUAUUCAAAACUAGUUUUUUAUUGGACAAACACAUGGAGUAGUCAGUGUGGAGUGUGAUUUGAAAUGGCAUGGCACACAAGGGCUGACUUUUUGGACAAUCUCUCUCUCCCCACCUUUUUCUUUCUUUUCUUUUUUCCUUAGUUUGUCCUCACUUCUCACAGAUUACUAGUGUGGCUACGGUCUAAGCGUCAAAUUUCAAUACCAACAUUUGUCUCUUUCUUUAUCUCUCGUUGAAAAACACAUUAUUUAGUGGGUGGAGGUGGGGUUUUGAUUCAGGACUUGAGCUUCUCUCCAUUUUGGUUGCGAUCUAGCCUGGAUACCUGGGAGAGAGAUCAUGCCUAUGCCCACUUGCAGUUUCUGCGCUUGUAAUCAUGCAUGCUCCCAUCAUUGCAAAUUUCAUCCUAAAAUUUUGAGUUCUUGCCCAAUUCUUGUGAUUAUGAGAGGAUUACAAGAUCAAAGGCAAUAUAAACAAUUUGUGUGUGUUUUUUUUUCUAUAGAAAACAGUUUUUUAAUUCUAAAAACAUGUUUAAUAAAAUUUUGAUAAAAAUAAUUUAUUCUGAAAAUAAGUUAUUUUUAAUAAGAAUUCUUUGACAACAGGUUUUAAAAACAUUCCCAAAUCAAAAUCAUAUAUAUGUUCUCCAAUAAAAACAAAAAAUAAUUUUAUGUUUUUAGAAAUAGAAAAGAUGAUGUUUUUAAAAUAUUUCAUUUAAAAGUUUUCGGAAGUACCUGACGUUUUAUAUAUAUAUAUAUAUAUAUAUAUAUAUAUGUGUGUGUCUUUCUCUUAAUCUAUAUUGUUAAGUACAAAUUAUUAUAAAUGGUAUUAAAAUUGAUCUUCAAUCUUGAUAGAGGGGUUUAUUUAAGAUUUGUUUGGUCCAAUAAAAUGUUGCAUAUAAAAAUAUUUUUUAAAAUAUAUUUAAAAAUAUAAAAAACAAAUGAAUUUCUUAUAUAAACAUUUGUAUUAUAAAAUAUCAUUAAACAAUCCUUUAAAAUUAUUUUUGAAAACACUUAUCAAAUAGUGUAUUAUUUUGAUUUUUUGAUUAGCAUUCAUUAAUUAUUUCUUUCAAAAAUUACUUUUUUAUCCAGAAAAUAUUAUAAAAAUACUUCUUCUUUUUUAAAUUGAGAAGAACAUGACUUAACAUGACAAUUCUAAAAUUAUAAUAAUUUUACAAAGCAAAUUAUCUUAUUUAUUCCUAUUUUUAAAUUAAUAAUUUCAAUAAAAUAAUUAGGUGCAUAUUACACGCGCUAGGAGUGGUCGAGUGAGAGCGGGAGAAAGGAGAGUUGACCGGGAGUAUCCGGUGGAGAUCACGGGCUACAGCGGUGGAUCUAAACGAGAGUCCACAUGCCACCUGGGUUGUCCGGUCAACGACUCAACCUAACUCUCAUGUGAAACCCACCCAACCCACUUUGGCCUUUUCUCCAUUUCUAUUUUGUUUUUCUUUUUUUAAUAUUACUUCUAAACCAAAAUUUAAAAUUUUUAUUGAAUUUUAAAAUUAUCUCUUAAAAUAAUUCCCCCAUUUAAUUAUAUUUUUAAAGUGACAAAUUUAUUUAUUUUCAUAACAUUAGGAAUAUUUAUUUGGAAAAUUAAUUUUUUUGAAUAAUAUUUUUGGAUUUAUUUUAAAAAUGACCCAAAUACUUCAUAUUUGUUUUGAAAUUUUAACUAAAAUCUACUCAAAUUUUUAAAAAAAAAUAUUAUAACACUAUGGUACAAUAAUUUUUUUUCAUAUAUUAAGAAAAAAAUAUUUUUCAUUGAAUAAAUAUAUUUAAAAUAAAAAAAUACAACAAUUAUGCUAUCUUAAUAUCAUAUUAUAUGAUUUUGAUUUGAUAUGUCAAAGUUGACCCUAAAGGUUGCAUAUUAAGCCAAAAGGAAAUUGACUCUUAUGUUUUUCCAAAAGCACAUGUAAAAAGUAUAGUAACUCAUAAUGCUAUUUUGGCCACAUUAACACACUAUAAUUAUGUACCAUGGUUAUUAUGUGAGGGGAUUAUAUUUAUUUUUUUUGGAUUUAAUGUGAAAAUUAUUUUUUUAUUUAAUUAAUAAAAAAUGUUUUUUUUUGGGGGGAAUGUAGACUAAUAUUUUUGUUAUAUAAUAAGGUUAGAGAAAAGCAUGGGGGAUGGUGCAUGGAGUGAUGACAUGUAGCCCACAUGAAGACACAUAAUAAUGAUAACUAUUUGAUGGCCUUUACUCCUUUUGGGCUCUUAGUGUGUUAUGACCACGCAUUUUUAAUAGAGUUGGGCCUUUUUCUUUUCCCUUUUUGUGGAAAAAGAUUUAUGAAAAGUGAUUACUCCAUUUAAAAUAAACAUAUUUGGAAUGAAAAAUUGAACCAAAUCAAGUUUUUGAAGUCAAUUUGGUUCGAUUUUUGUGAAUCGGUUUUAACCUAACUCAAUGACUUUAUUUGUUUUCGAGCUUAAAGCCCAUUAAUUUGAGUUUUUGUUUUGUCAUUACUCUAAAAUCUAAUAUGUAAGUUUUAAAACAUCUGUUUAGUUUAGUUUUCAUCGGUUACAAAAUAAGAAAAUCAAAAACUUUACCAAUAAAGUUAGUUUUCAAAAUUUUCAUAUCGAAUUAAUUUUUUCUAUUUUUGAAAACCAAACUAAUAUGAUCAAUUUUAAUUGUUUUGAAUUGAUUUAUCAGUUUUUUUUAUUUUGUUUAUACCUUUGUUAUAAACAUAAAUUUCAAUGGUGCUAAUGAGCAAAAUCUUUGGGGGAUUUUUAAAGAUAGUUUUUAUGAAUAUUUUUUAAAACAUGAUAGUAAAAAAAUCAUUUUAAAAUUUAUUGGCGUGAGGAAAAAUAAUAUUUUUAAUUAAAUACUAAAAUUUGAAGUUGUAUCUUAGAGAUUUAGAAUAUAAUAAAAUUGUUUCUUCAAAAUGAAUGAAGUAUAAUUACACUUGAGUCAUGUCAGCCAAAACUAAACUUUAAUAAAAUAAAUACUCAUAAAUUUGUCUCAAUUAGUGCAAUCAUUUUAAUUUUUUCAUAUAAUUCAUUUAAAUUAGAUUUGAUUGGGUAUAUCUUAUGAUUAUAUCCCAUUGAAUAAAAUAUACUAAAUAUUUAGUUUGUAAAAGGAAUAAAAAAAUGCGAAAUGAAAUAUAUUAUUUUUUAUUACUCAAUAUUUUUUAUUUAAAAAAAUGAAAUCUAUCUCAUUUUUAAUAUUAUUUGAAAAUUAUUCAACGAUUUAAAUUUUGGUAAUUAUUUACAUACUCAAUAAUAACAUUCAUGAUUAAAACAUUUAAAAUCGUAUAAAUAACAAGUUUUAUAUUAUAUUAUUCAAAUUUUGUAUAUAUUAAAUAUAUAUAUAUAUAUAUAUAUAUAUAUUAACUAUAAAUUUAUUUAUUUAUUUCAAAAUUUUUUGUUUUGCAAAAUAAAUAAUAUAAAAAAUAUUGAAAAAUAAAUAAAUUUAUGAUAAUCUUGAUUUAAGAUACAUAUAUUUUAUGUAAAAGAUAUAAAAAAGAGAUCCCAUAAUAUAUUUUACCACUUAUUUUAUCCAAUAUUUUAUUAAAUAUAAAAUAUAAUAAGUAAUUAAAUAAUUUAUUCUAUUCUAUAACAAAAUCCCGAAAUGAGGCAAAAUAUAUUAUUUUAUCUAUUAUCCUAUCCCUUUUAUAUCCAACCAAUCAAACCUAGUGUCUCGGAACCUUUUUGUGUUAUAGGAUUAUGAGAAACCAUAUUCGAUAAACUUAGUAUCUAUUUGUCAUACCUUCUAUUUCCUAUUUUACAAAUAGAAAAUAUUAAUAAUUUCCAUAUAAACAUAACAAAAUAUAUCUUAUUGUAUAUGUUACUUUAUGAAUUUAAGUUCAUCAGAUAUAAUAUUCAAGAAUAUCGUAUUCCACUUGAAAUGAUAUCAUAAGAUAUGCAUUUCCUAUUCAAUAGGUUAUGAUAUCUUAUGAUAUACAAUUUUUAUCUAAUAGAAUUUUAAAUCAUUUUUUAAAUUUUGAUAUAUCAAAUAAUUUUUAAAAUGAACUUUAAUUCAACAAAGCUAUCUUUGGCUAAGUUAUCAAAUAAUAAACUUGGAUUAACUUCAAUUUAAAUAUGCAAGAGUAUUCUAAUUGACAUAACAUAAUUUUUUGAUUCUUUUAGGUUAUGGUUUGUACUCGGUGAUUUUGAAGGAAAAUGUAAUAAAAAAAAAAACAUAGAGGAAAAGUAAAAUGAAAGGAAGAGUGAAAAAAAUUUAAAAAAUAAAUUUAAAAUUAAAUAAAUUAUUUUAUAUAUUAUUUCUUAAUUGUCCUAUUUAUUUUAAUAUUUUAUAUAAAAAUUAAAUAAUUUAAAAAUAUGUAAAUUUCUCAAUAAUUUUAACUAUAUUUGACUUUUUUUUUUUUACAUUUUUCAUAGGAAAAUAAAAAAAUGAAAAAAUCAUUUCAUUAUUUUAAAAAUAUAUAAAUUUCUUAAUAGUUUUAAUUAUAUUUGACUUAUAUAUAUAUAUAUUUUAUAGUAAAAUCAAAUUUUAAAAAAUAAUUUUCUUAAUAUUUUUUUUGUUUUUGGAAUCACAUAUAGUCUUAAUAUGCUAGUAGAUUGAUGAAAAAAGAUUUUAAUUUAACGUAUUAGAAAAUAAUUUAAAUUAACUUUUUCCCAUUAUUUUAAUUAUUCUCGUACCCUCAUUAUAGAAAUUAGAAAAUGAAACGAAAUAAUAAUUUAAAUAAAAUAUAUUUAUAGCUUCAAAAUAAUUUUAUUUUUCUUUCAAUUUUAAAUACCUAAAACACCCUAAAUUAUUUUGUUUUUAAAAUUAUAUAGAGCAAAGGCACGUGUAGUCACGUGAUCCCACCCAAACGGAGCUAUUAUAUUUUAUGCGAAGCGGUCGUAGCCGGGACUCGGGAGGCAUGGCAGAGGUCAGGAGCAUCGGAGUGGUGGGCGGCGGUCAGAUGGGUUCGGGAAUCGCCCAACUCGCCGCCGUGCACGGCGUCGACGUUUGGCUUCACGACACCGACGCCGAGGCUCUUACCAGAGCCACCAAAUCCAUCUCCACUUCCAUCCAACGUUUCGUCUCCAAAGGACAGCUCUCUCAGGUUCUGUAUAGACAGCUCGCCCUCUGUCGCUAUGUUUGGUUGAUGAGAAAACAUAGAAAAUUUUCUUUUUGAAUUCUUAUUUUUCUGCUUUAUUGUUAAUUGGGAAUGAAAAAAUUGGGCGAACCAAGGCGAGUUGUUGUACUACCCUCUGCUUGGUUGCUGGGAAAACAUAGAAAGAAAAUUUUUUAUUUUGAUUUUUAUGCUUCGUUGUUAAUUGGAAAUGAAAAGGUCAAGUGAACCUAGGUGAGUUGUUGUACUACCCUCUGUUUGGUUGCCGAUAAAAUGGACGGAAAAUUUGAAGGAUUUUGCAUUAGGGUCUGAUGAACAAAAAUAAAUAAAUUCUAUUAUUCCUUUUGGAAUUCCAAUAUCUCUGUAAACGUGGGAGACUUGCCCGUUUGAAGAGUACUAUUUCUAGCUUGCCAACUUAUUUGUCGGCCUUUGUAAUUCCUUGUUUGUCGAGGAGCAGAUUGGAAAGGAUGCGGAAGGGUUCCUUUGAUGGAGAGGCCACGAGGACAAAAAGAUUCAUUCAAUUAGGUGGUCGACUGUAUGUUCUAAUAAGUAGGAUGAGGGGUUCGGGCAUUAGGAGACUUGAACCUCUCAACUAAGCCUUAAUGGCUUUGGAGAUGUGCUUAGGAGCUUUUUGGAGAGAAGUAAUUGUGGGGAAAGAGGGUAUAGAAGUUUUUUAGUUCAAGCUUGUGGAAGACAAUCAGGAAGGUAGGGAUGAUAUUUUAUUGAGGAUUCAAAUACCAGUGGAUAAUGCUCAGUGUGGAUCAAGUUUUGGCACGACUCUUGGAGUGGUGGGUUCUGCUAAAAGAUUGGUUUCUUGGGCUAUUCAAUGACGUGGUACAUAUAGAGGCUUGGGUGUUUGAUUAUUGUGAUGGGGUUUGCUGGAAGCCAAGGAUUGGAAGGAAGUUUAUGGACUGAGAGCUGGCUCUUGUAGACUUUUUCGCAGAUAUUGUGGUUUGGACAGUAGUGGAGCCAGGAUUUUAGUUCGGGGCAACUUCUAAAACAAAUGUAAAGUUUGCCAAUUACAGAAGAUGUGGGAUUUAGCCCAAUGGCCAGCCAUGACACUUUUCAGGGUGUGUGUGGGGAGGGGGUUGUCCCUAACACUAGGUCUGGGAUUCGAUUCCCCUUGUGAGAAGUGGAAUUUUUUUUUUUUUUUUUUUUAACAUUUUCAGGGGGGGCUCCCUGUCAGACCCUGUUAUUAAUUCUUUGAAUAUGAAGAUGUUGUCACCUUCCCAUCUAGGUUGAUUUGGAAUUUCUAAGACACCUUCUAAGGUUGUUCUUUUUUUCUUUUUUUUGUGUGUGGAAACAGGCUUGGGAGAAAUUUUUCCCACUGAUUAUAUCAUGAGAAGGUGAUGGAAGUUGGUCAAUCGGUGUUUUCUCUGUAAACUUAAUUCUCUGUCUGCCUAUGAUAUCCCCAUCCAUUGUGAAUGGGUUUCUGAGUUAUGGGCUUUGGUGUUCUCUCUAAUAGGUGUGUCUUAUGAACUUCUUGCAGAUGGCUGUUUUUAGCUUCCAAUUGUCUAAGCUUAGUUUUUGUUUUUAUUGAAAAAUGAUUUAGUAGAUUAUUAAGUGAAUAUAUCUUAAGAAUUUGAGUUAUGUUCAUUAACAAGAAUUUGUGCCAUCCUUUGACAUGUGAUGUCUAACGGUAGAUUUGUUUUUGGGAAACCAAAAUAAAUAAUGGGAAAACAAGAUUAGAAGGUCUACUUGAUGACAAAAGGGGUUAAAUCCAUCUCUUCUCAAGCCCUGCUGUGAUUUUUUAUUUCAAACUUGCGAAAAACAAAUUCUUUUCAAACAAUCAAAUCUUUAUUUCUAGUGGGCUCAUGCAAGUUUCUAUUUCAACUAUUUAAAUUUUACUGGUUUUUGACAUCUCCUCUUAACAGGAAGUAGCUACUGGUGCUCUGCAACGUCUACGAUGUACCUCAAAUUUGGAGGAACUUUGUUCUGCAGAUGUUAUAAUUGAAGCAAUCGUUGAAUCUGAGGAUGCCAAGAAAAAAUUAUUUUCUGAAUUAGAUAAGCUUGCAAAGGGUUCUGCCAUUUUAGCAUCUAAUACAAGUUCUAUUUCCAUUACUCGUCUAGCUUUUGCAACUAGCAGACCAUGCCAGGUCAGGCCAAACUUCCUGUUUACAGACUUUAGUCAUACAAGCUACUUAUCUAGUUUAUUUAUUCAUUGUCUGAAUUUUUGUUGCAAACAUGUAUUUCUGGUUUGUAGAAAAAGUUUAUUAUGUUUCUUUCAAAUUUUACAAAAGGCAAAGUGAAUCUAUAACAAAGUCAUGUAGAAUAGCAUGAAAUGGUUUAGUUUCCAAAUGAAAUAAAAAUUUACCCUCAAAUUCUUAAUGCAUGCAACUGAUGUGCCUCUGAGUAAAUAAACAGGUUGUUUGAUGUGCCCCUAAUAAUUUAAAAUGCAUGCAUAGUUAUACCACAAAUUCUUUCACUUGCAUUAUCAUGACUUUAAUGGUAAAUUUGUGUGUAACCUAGCCUCUACUUAAUUAAAAAUAUGUUUCUGAAUUCUUAACUGCAUAGAUUUGUGGAUGGCUUGUGAAAUCAAUAUGUUCAUCCCAACAUAACAUACUAUAUCACAAGUUUGAUAUAACAUUCACUUUUUCAGGUUAUUGGUAUGCAUUUUAUGAAUCCUCCUCCUAUUAUGAAACUGGUUGAGAUUGUGAGAGGUGCAGAUACAUCAGAAGAAACUUUUAAUUUGACAAAGGCCUUGGCAGAGAGGUAAUCCACUGAAAUACCUUGUCAGUUGCAUGGAGGAGGGUGUUUAAUCUAGGGAGAAAGGGGAUGCAUUGCAUGCCUAGGAUGAAACACUUAAUGGAAUAAAGGCUACCUUUUGCCUGAAUAUUCUCUCUCUCUCUCUCAAUUUUUCUGGUGGGAUUAGCAGAUGCCUAUGCUUCAUAUCAUUUCCCUUUUUUGGAGGGUGGGGAUGGAGGGCUUGCCUUAGCUCAAUAUGAGUGUCUCUUCUAUUUUUUAGCACAGGGGAAGGGUUUAUCUUUUUUUCUCAUCCUUUUGCCAUUUAUUUAACUGGUGACUGCUGAAUUUGCAGGUUUGGCAAGACUGUGAUAUGCUCUCAGGAUUAUUCUGGGUUCAUCAUAAACCGGGUUCUAAUGCCAAUGAUUAAUGAAGCAUUUUUCACACUCUAUACUGGGGUGGCAACAAAGAAGGACAUUGAUACAGGAAUGAAGCUGGGAACAAACCAUCCAAUGGGUCCUUUAGAGCUUGCAGAUUUCAUUGGUUUGGAUGUCUGUUUGUCAAUAAUGAAAGUUCUUCAUGCUGGCCUAGGGGACAGUAAAUAUGUUCCCUGUCCUCUUCUCCAGCAGUAUGUUGAUGCAGGUCGCCUUGGGAGAAAACGAGGAAUUGGGGUUUACAACUAUCGUAAAGUAACAGGAGCAACCAACCUAUCAUCUCGAAUUUGAACCUUCGGCAUUUUGAGAUUAUUGAGCUACUCAACAUAAUGCCUUUGUAAAUAAUGCUUUUGUAUAUUUGAUCUGUCUUAAGAUGAUAUGGGCAACAAAUGCCUACGAUGUCAAUUACAGAAACCAACAGAAAAAGGAAGGAGGUCCUCAAGCAAAACCAGCAUUUGGAUAAAAAGUAACACAAACUUGGUGAAGCAAACUUUUCAAGAAGAAUAUUCAAGUAAAUUUCACUUUCCUUGUGAUGUUUAUCACAUUUUUGACUUUUUGGUUGUUUAAUCCCUACUUUUUCUAUGCUCCAAUUAUCAAAAAGUUUCUCCUUUAGCUUUUUUGUCCUCUAAUGUAGCUUCUAGUGGCCAUUCCUGUAUGGUACUAUUACAAUGAUGUAUAGGGUAGGUUAGAUAUAAUUUUCUUUUACGAAUAUUUAUUUGUAUCUCUUGUCAUGAUAUGCUCUUCUCAAAUCUGGUUUACCUUAACAAGAACUCCAUGCAAAGAUAUUAGAUGUUCAUGUAUAGCCAAUUGUUGAGGGGUGUAACAAUGUCGCUUUUAAGCCCGAUGUUGUAUCAUCCAAAUGAUGCUUCUUAGAACAGGCUGGGGGGUAUGAUGUUUAGCGUCACAAAAGUUGGCUUGAUAUCGAUUAGUUUUAGAUGAGAUGAAGACAUAGGAGCUGGGUAUUCUUAAUUUUUGUUAAUUAAUCAUGGAACAUUCUUUAUUAGGUGGUCUAUUAGUAUUAUUGGUUCAUACAAUGAAUCAGUUCCCAUGUUUGUCAAACUCAGGACUGGUUAGAGGGGAAUGAUCUAAUGGUAUGUCAUUUGAAUGCAUUGAACACAUUUUAUUGAUGUUGAUCUAAUACCCAAGUAGUGAUUGAUUAUGUAUGCUGGCAAAUUAGUUGCUGACCGACUCCACGACAUGGCCAUAGAAAAAAGAUCACUUUUGAAGCUUCAAUCCAAACCCUUUAACAGAUGCCAGCCAUGGUGCUGCAUCACGUCGUCACAAUUCUAGGAUCAUAUAUCAUAUAUAAAGAAGUCGAAGACCAUCCCUUUCAUGUAGCAUAGGAGUUGUUGUUUCCCAUUGUCUUCAUUGAUGCUGAUAUUUGAUACCUUAUAUGGGUAGAUAAUUACUAUGUUGCAUGUGUUUGGGUAUGAAUGUUGGAUGCAGGUUGUUGUUUAAGUGUCUAAAUCCUUCAUAACUCAACCUUCAGGUAUGUUGACUCGGUUCAAAAGGAUCCAAAGAAGGGGUGUACGUAUUGGGAUAGGUAUGUUGGUGAUCUUCUACCAACCAAGUUUCAUCAAUACCUCUUGGAAUCUUUGCUCACAUCCUUUUUCAAAUAUAUGUAAUUAAAAAUUAUUUCAUUUAUUUUAAUUCCUCCAUAUAAAAAUAAAAUAAUUUAAAAUUAUAUAAAUUUAUAACUAAUUUUAAUUAUAUUUAUUUUUUUAUUUUAAAAAUACAAGAAUAUAAACUUUUUGUGGUUUUGCUAAGUUUAUAUUCAUCGAAGCUUGAAGCAUUGAAAAUUAAGACUUCAGGCACACCAUGUGCCUUGCAAAUUAGGACUAUGUCUUUGUCUUCAUAGUCUACCCUUUCGGAUGCCUUUAAUAUGGCAUUAAGGACAAAUUUGGCCUCCUAAAAUUCACCGAAGUCAAGUGUUAGGAAAUCAUUCUUCCUUGAAAUUAUAUCCAAAUGCAACUAUGAAAGUCCCUUUUUCCAAAAGUUGUAGGCCAGUGUGAGGCCAAUAAGUCAAUCCCUGAUACAAAAUUGAUGAUUGAUUUGCAAUCUUGUCAAUUAAGGUAAUCUUCAUUAACUUACGGGUUAAGAUUUGUCUAUCUCAAAACACGAUGAUAAAUGAGCAAGAUGAAAAGGUGAAAAACAUAAUUGCGUUUAGAUUCUUGUUGAUUAGCAAAAGUUUUAAUACAAACAUGUUAAUGUAAAAACAUAAGUGUAAGACCAAUCGUAUGCAAAAAUACAUAAAAUUUUAAUACAGUUCAAUCUACUAUGACUAUAUCCACAUAUAAGAAAGAUUGUUUUACUAUAUUGUAAAGAAUAUUAUAAAUAAUACAAAACAAACAUUUUAUAGUAUUUCAUUUUAUUUAUCCACAUCUUGAAUUAUUGGUCUUCUCACUUUAUUUUAUCUACCAUACGUAAUUUUCACGGUUCAUCUAUCUUCAUCUCAUAAUUUUUUCCCCCUCUUGUCAAAAUCUCGUGGUCUAUGAAAAUUGAACGUAAGAUCAAUGUUUCAUACUGCUUGCCAGCCCUGCAAUCUUGUGAUAGAGACAAAGAAUUCGAAAAGGAGUCCUCUUUUUUCAAUGGAAAUGGCCAACCAUGUGACACAAAAGUAGAGCCUAUUGAAGAGUGCAUUAAGUUCAUUGCUGAGCAUGGGUAGCCCCACCACAUGACCUCCCCCCCCACACCCUAAAGCUGGCAUUAUUAUGCAUGAUCUUUAUUUCUGAAAGUGACUGAAAUGGAAUCCAAUUGAUAAUCAAUAAACAAACAAAUUAUUAAAAAUAAAUAAAAAAGGAUGGGAAUGGAGAUAAGAGUAGGAUCUAUAACUUCAAUUCCUUCCAAUACAAACUGGUUUCCGGCUGCAUUUUGAGUACUGCAGGGAAGGCAGCAGAACUGCAGAAGCCAUGAAGUUCUUGUUUCAGUGCCCAUGUUGCUCUUGUUUCUGCUUCAUGAAGCCCAAGAAGGGGAAACCAGCAGUGAAGCAAGCAGCCAAUGCAGCAACUGAAGCUACAAAGGAAUCUAAGGUGGAGACGAAGGUAGCUGCCAAAGAAGCCAAGGCAGACUGAUAAUUAUAUGACUAUAUCAACACCCCAUCAGCCAAUUAUCAGAAUGGAAACUAUUCUGAUUAGUAUUUAUUUUUCUUCUUCUUCUUCUUCUUCUUCUUCUUCAUCUUUGUACUGAAUUGUAUGGAGUUUGAUCUUAUGGAAAUGCCCACCUCGAGAUCCCUUCAGAACUGUCUCUUUCCUCUGGUUGUCAGUGCUACUGCAUAUUCAAAAAUAAAUUGUGAUUUUGACCAAUUUGCCUAGAUAUGAGAGCACAGUGUGAAUCUUGUUUGUUUUUUCUUUUUCUUUUUUGUUGGGUUUGAUGGCAGAUCUGUCUGUCCUAUAAAUUCUGCAGCUGGAUCCAGAGAAAAUGCACAUGGGAGACUUUAUGGUUAGGAUCCAUCUGCACAACACAUUUGUUGUUUUUCAGGGUCUUGAUCAAUUUUUUUGCGAGAAUGUAGGGUUUGAGUCUUCAUUCCCAACUCUUCACUCUCACAUGUGACCACCAUGAAUACACCACUCUGGUAUUGCAGAUUGUCUAUUGGUUUUGGAUACUGGACAGCUACGUUUGGUUACCGAGAAAGCAAAGAAAAAUAAAUAUUAGAGUUAAAAGUGAAUAAAUUAUUUUUACACACUAUUUUUUAUUUAUUUUAAUUCUUUUUUUUAUAUAAAAAUUAAAUAAUUUAAAAAAAAUACAUUUCUAAUUAAUUUUAAUUACAUUUAUUUUUUUCAUAAUUUUUGUAGUAAAACCGAAUUUGAGAAAAUCAUUUUUAUUAGGUUAUGCUUGAUUGCAAAAAAUUUACGAGGAAAAAUAAAGAGGAAAAUUUACAAGUAAUUUUAAUUAUAUUUAAUUUUUAAAAUAUUUUUCACAAUAAAAUCAAAUACAAGAAAAAAAAAAUUAACUUCUCAUUUUCUUUACUAGUUUUUUUUUUUUUUGGAAUUAAACAUAACAUAAUAUUGUAGGAGUUUUUGAAUUCUAAAAGCUUAUUCUAUGAUAUUCAAUAGGAUUUUGUAGGAGUUUUUGGGCUCAAUGUGAAAAAUAUCUUAGCCCAGUUCAUGUGGGCCGGUGGGCUUUUGAUAAAAGCACAUUGGAUUUUUUCUAUGAUAUUCAAAAUUCACUUUUGGAUAAUCAAAGUGGCCAUAUGCUCACAUACCAUCAUUUCUUUGAAUCCUAACUAUGGUUUUAAUUUUUCAUAAUUAGACAUUAUUUAUUUCUAACUUAAUUUCAUUUAUUAUUAAUUAAAAUUUAUUUUAUUUUAGUAUGUAGGAUUUUCGAAUACUUAAUUUGAAUAAAUCAAUCUUAAAUUAUCUUAAAUACAUCACAAGUGGAUACAAAAAAGAGUUGAGUUAACAAGAGCACUUUCCUUAAGAUCAUGUGGAUUUUUUUUAAAGAAUAUUAUUUAUUAAAAUGUAAAAGUGUUAAAAAUAUUUUAACCCAUGAGUUGGGCUUCCCAUACAUAUUUGCCAUUUGAUGAAUAAUUUUAAUUUUGAAGACAAAUUUUUUUAAAUUUUUCGAAGAAGCAGAAUUUCUUAGCUUAUAUAAGCUAUAUUUUGACUUAUAUGGUAAGUUUUUUCAUAUUUAAUAAAACUUUUAUAACAUUAACUUUUAAAAUUUUAAUUUUAAUUUCGAUUUCAUCCGUCAACUAAUUUUUUUUUUUUAAAAAGUUAUCCCCAAUAGAUUCUAAUUUACAAACUAAUGAUCUUGAAAGGGAUUGAUCAUUCUUGUUUCUCGGACUGUGACACUUUAAUGGCUACACGUUUACCAAUAGAUUUAUUUUUAGUUGAAUAUUUGAAUGUUAAUACGACAUUUUUAGAAAUAUUAUAGAAAAUUAUUACCCAUCUCCAUAUAAGAUCCCAAUACACAAAUUAUAAUUUUGCUUUAACUAUAGAGCAUUUGAUAAUUCUUUCCAUAUCAAAUGUGUUAAUUUAUUCACUAAAAUCUUAACCGUCCUACCCAAGAUCGUGUGUUUUAUUAAUGAUACUUUUGAGACCAUUGUUUUGUCACGUGUGUUUAGAUUUAGGGUUAAUUUCGUUCACAUUCCUUAAGGUUUUAACUAAAUAUACCUAAUCCCAUGGUUUGGAAUUUCAUUAAAUAUUUAUCAUAUCCUUUUCAUGUCUUAUUUUCACUCACUUCCUUUUUAUUUGAUGAAAUUUCAAACCUAUGUGUUAGAUGUAUUUAUCCAAAACCUCGGGAGAGAUAAACAAAAUUAACCCUUUGAAUUUAAUAUUUUUGUAUGUAAAAAAGAAAUACAAAAGUUUAAAGGAUUUUUGACAUUUUUUAUGUCUUUUAAAUAGAAUAUUUGUAAAAAUUAAUACUUGAAAUCACAAUUUGAAAUUUAUUGCAAUGAAGAAGUAUUUAGAAAUUGAUGAUAGUUUGUAAAGUAUUAGACUUGAAAAAAUAACUUCAAUAUAGUUAAAUUGAUUGAAGUUUUCUUUUGAAGAAAUAAUUUCAAUGUCAAUUUUAAAAUUUAAAGUUGCUUCUUCAAGAAAUUGACUUCAAAAUUCAUUAGUUAAAGUGAAACUAUUUCUCAAAAAAAUAACACAAAUUCUUGUGUACCUAAAAAUAAAUUUUAAAUACUAUUGUAGACCUCCCCAUUUGGGUGCUAUUUCAUGCAGCUCAUUCUGGCCACGUGUCACUCCCGGAUUAGUCAAUAUAGGAUCAAAAUAGUGGAGUUGAUGGACCAAUUAGGGGAAGACACCUGUAAAGGUGAAGAAGGUUCUAGAAGGAGGAUCUGCAGGCCGUUGUCUUGAGGAGCGGAUGAGAGAGAGGAAGUGGGGGCUGCAGAGUAGUGGUGCAGGGGUAGUGGCUGUCUCUGCAGAUAUGGUUAGAAGGGCAAAUCCGGGAGAAGAAAAAGGUGCUUUUGGAGAGGUUUUCCUUGAGCUGGGAAGGGAGUUUGGGAAAGAAAAAGACAGAGGAAGAAAAAAACACUAGAAAAAAAAAAACAGAGAGGAAGGAGAAAAAAAAGGAGACAGGAAGGCAGGUUGGGGGGGGGGACGAGUGAUAAGGGUGGUUUUAGAAGAGACAUCUUGAGGGCCGUUUGAGAGAGUUCAGGGAGUGCAACUAACUUGGGAAGAGAAGCUUGUUGGUGAAGGAAGAAAAGCAGUGGAAAGCCGUGCUGUGGACUUCCAGGGCCACGGAGUUUGUUUCGAUUGAAUAUGCUUAUUCAUGUAUGAUGCUUUGCUUCAUUUCUCUCCUGUGCUCGAUUUUCUUUUCUUCUGAAAAUGAUUGGAUCUUCAUUGAGUUUGGUUUGGAUGCUUUGAUGAUUAUAUUGUGGAUUUUUUUUUAACUCAUCCCACCAGCUAGCCACUCAUUCAUCAUUCAUGAAACGAGAUGUUGCUUAGUAAUUCUUUAAUCCAUCCAUUCUUGCUCUGUUCCUGUUUCUAUCCUCUUCUUCCUCUGUUUUCCUUUGAAAGAGACCUUCAAGCUUUAAGACUGAGAAUCUGAGGAGAUUGGCUGAUGGAGAAAGAUAAUGAUGUGAAGAGGAGUUUGUCGUUUUGGAUCCAGGAUUUUUCUGUAUUUAUUUGUCUGCUUCUGGUGCAUUUGAGGAAGUUUGUGGCUGUUGAAAAGGCUGUUACGUCUACUAUAUCUGCUGCUCCAGGUCAGGUUGAGUUGCCUUUUAAGCUCCAGCUUGGGGUUGUUCUCUGGUCCUGCUCUGAUACCAUCUCCAGUCCCUGCAAUCCAAACUGGCUCUAUACAGAUGCCUCUCCAUCUACAUCCCCAAGUCGGUCCAUCACUUACCCAUAUACACCCAUCACCGCCUCCUCUCUUCCCGUUUAGUCAACUCAGUCAACUUGGUCUUGUUCCAAGGAACUUGGAUCUGCCAUAGGACAAUGCAUUAAAAGAGGUAAAGUCAUUGCCCUUGAGAGUAAGUGCAGACGGUAAUGUUAUGACAAAUCAUACCCAGCAGCUGCAUCUCCACAACACAGUCUUCCAAUGGCUUCAGAGAAGAAACUCUCAAACCCAAUGAGGGACAUCAAGGCCCAGAAGCUCGUCCUCAACAUCUCCAUUGGAGAAAGUGGAGAUCGCCUCACCAGAGCCGCUAAGGUGUUGGAAUAACUCAGUGACCAGACCCCUGUUUUCUCUAAAGCAAGAUACACUGUUUGAUCCUUUGGGAUCAGGCGUAAUGAGAAGAUUGCUUGCUACGUCACUGUCAAGGGCGAGAAAGCAAUGCGGCUUCUUGAGAGUGGUUUGAAGGUCAAGGAAUAUGAGUUGCUGUUGAGGUCACUGGAGGGCUUGAAAUUCCUUUCCACCCAGGGAGAGAGGACAAGCCGGAGCCACCACCUGAGGGUCGUCUGCCAGAUGCCACCAAAAGAUGCGAUCACUUGAGAUAGGUGUAUGCUACCCAAAUGGGUCUCAACGACAAGGACAUCGUAGCUUUCUCUGGGGCCCACACCCUGGGAAGGUGCCACAAGGAGCGCUCUGGAUUUGAAGGACCUUGGACUUCCAAUCCUCUGAUCUUUGAUAACAGCUACUUCACGGAACUCCUUGGCGAAGAAAAGGAAGGUCUUCUAUAGCUGCCAAGUGAUAAAGCUCUUCUCUCAGACCCAGCCUUCUGUCCUCUUGUCGAGAAACAUGCCGCUAAUGAAGAUGUCUUCUUUGAGGAUUACAAAGAACCCCUUUUGAAACUCUCUGAGCUGGGAUUUAUUUAUGCUUAAAAGAAAAUUGGGCACAAGGUGAUGGAGUUGAUAAGUUGCAUUUGCUGAUUUACCGUUAUGUUUUUUUUAGAUUCUGGAAGCACUUAUGUGAUCUGGGCAGUUUCAUGUUGAAGAAGUUGGAGUGAUUUUUGCUUGAUUUUGUUGACGACAUGGACAUCUCCAAGGGUGUCGUUUUGAAGUUGUUGUCAAUAGGGUAGAUGCUCACACAGCAUCCGAAUUGGCAAAGAAGGGCAGUGUUAGUGAAGAUUGCAAACCCUGCUAGGAGGAAUGAAAGAGACCUCAAGGAGAUAUAGGUCGAAGCUACUGUUGAGGCAAUGAAUGAGACAAUUUUUGUGACACCUUUGGGACCCGCUUCCUCUUUCCAGCAUGGCAUGCAUGGCCACCUUUGGUGGGCCACCCCUGAAACUCACGUGGCAUACCCCUACAUUCCCGUGCAUUGUUUUCAAAACAAUUGAUUUUCAAAUAAAAUCCUUUUCAAAGGUUUAAAUCCUUCAAGUUUUCUUUCUUUAUCUUAAAUAAAUCCAUUUUUUACCCUUUUUCCAUUCGUCAAAUAUCUUUUACUUUUUAUUUUUACUUAUUUUUAUUAUUAUUAUUAUUAUUAUCUUCUUUGUCAUCAUUAUUAUUUUACCCUUGUUGUUUUUAAAAUAAUCCCUCAAAUCCCAAUUUUCAAAUAGUUUUCCAAUUUUUAAAAUUCUUUAAAUAAUUUUAACUUCUUAAAUUUUUCAUCCUUAGACAUCUUUUUUUUUUAGGUUCUAAACAUCUCAUUUUCAAUAAAAUUUGGCCGCUAUUUUCUUUUUUUGGGCGAGCCACUUUCGAAUUUUUCAUAAUUUUAAAACGUUUUUUUGAAAUAAAACAUGAAUUCAAUUUUGUGAUUCCAAUUAAUGGAACUUAUGAAAUCUAUUCAUGCAAAAAUAGAAAUGGGCUUUGGUGGGGGCCCGACAUAUGAGAUUUUAUGAUUAAUGGAUUGUUUGGUUGAUUCGGGUGCCAUACAUGAUUUAUUCUGCUCUAUGAUAUGCAUGUGACUAUCCCUUAAUUGUACACUAAUCUCACUUCUUGAUAGCGCAUUGAAGAUCGUUGCCCAGGUACGCAUCUGUCCUUAUUCUGAUCUCACUAUAUGCAUGUUUUGAUAUGUGCAUGAUUGAUUUGAGUAUUUAUUGAUUUCCUCAUCAUUGCCACAUCAGCUUCAUUUUAUUAGUAGAGACCCGACUUUAGGGACUUAGAGGGGUGCUACGGUCUUUACCGUACCUUCCCGAUAAGUAACCUGACCCCCGAACCCGAUCCGGUUUUUCACAGACCACCUUUUCCAAAAUAAGGAGUCACACUUAGGGUUUUUCUUUCUUAUUUUGUUUACCCUUUAAAAAUAAAACAAAAAUAAGUGGCGGCUCCAAGUCAUUUUCAAAUAAUCAAUAAAAAUCAUAAUUUUUCAAAAUAAAAAUCGAGCUCGCCAUCGAGUGGGAAACGCAUUCGAGCAAUCGAAAAUGCGGGGUCCACAACUAUAUUUUAGAAAAUAAAUUUUUUAAGUGAUCAUGUGUACCACAUUUUUAAAUACUAUAUUUUAGAAAAUAUUUUUUGCAUCGAUCAUGAAAAAGCUAGAAGUAAAUUUAGGGACAUUGGAGAGUGAUUAUAAUAAAAGUUUUUAUUAUUAAUAAAAAAAUGAAAUUUGAAAGUGUCAAGUCCUAGUUUGAAGUUAAGUGAAAAAGAAAAUUAUUCCAAAUAUUAAAAGUCACUUUUACCUUUGGAGUGUGAUUUGAAAAAUGUUUUUUAAUAUUUAAAAUCUUUUUUUAUUUUUUAUAAAUUAAGUGUUUAACAAUUUUUUUAAAAAUAUGCUUAAAAAUAUAAAGAAUAUUUGAAUUAGAAAACCCGUUUGAUAAUGAUUUUGGUUAAAUAUUUUUAUUUAUAAAACUCUUAUUAAUAGCAUUUUAAUUAGAAAUGUUUUUAAAGAGAAUUGUUUAAUAUUUUGAUAUAAAUUAAAAAAGAUUGUCUUUAUGGUGUUUGAAUUGAUGUAUUUGUUGAAAUUAGGUUUAGGUGCUCAAGUAGACCUUACUUGACCCAAUCCAAAAAAACUGGACAUGAAAAAAAAAAAAAAACUAACUAUUUGAAAGAACUCACUUUUGUAAGAAAUUUCUCUUUUGAAUUUCAUCUAUUUCUUUUCUUUUUCAUGAAAAAAAAAAGAUUGACAUUUGUGUCGUUAAACAAAGUUAUUAUCAAAUUUUUGUAGUUUCAUUCAUAUCUUAGCAUAUAUGAUUUUUCUGUGAAAUAACCAAUCUGGAUUUUAGGCAUUUUAGAAAAUAUCCCAAGCCUUUUUCUCGAUUGUAUUAUAUAACAAAAACGUGAUUUUAUUUUUUAAAGAAUUACCUAUUAAGUUAUGGGCUAAGAAGAAUUUGAAGUGAUUUUCCGCAUUUUUUAAAUAUUUUUCAACUAUUUGCUAAAUACAAAUAGGUUCAAAAUAAUUUCUUUUAUUACAUUACUAGAAUAGCUAUUAAAGGUCUUUUUGAUUUAUAUUCAGAUAUUGAGUGAUCAUCCUUAAAAACAUUUAUAAUAAAAACAUAAUAGAUUAAAAAGUAGAUUUGGUCAGUGAUUUUACGAAGUGUUUUUAAUUUUUUUUUAUAUUUAAAAGAUAAAAACUUUUAAAUGUUAAAAAGAGUAUAAACACUUCAUAAAAUCACUCUUUUAAAGUACUCGUAAAAAAAACUUUUACUACCAAAUAAGUUUUUGGUCAAUUAGCUUAUGGAGUGAAGUAUGGAUUUUGUUGUCACCUCGCGUAUCCUGUGGUCCACGUUGCUGCUAGAUGGAUGGACACGCGAUUCUCAACACAUAAAGGGUUCUUGAUUCAGCGGUUGUACCUGCAAAAGGCAUCCGGACAGGGUGUCCGGACACACCCUCCGAUGGUUUUGUUAGCCAUGGUAAGAGAGAGAGAUAUAAAUCAGUUGGCCUUUUACUAGGUCUCAAGAGGUUACCAGGGGAUCCCUUUCUUCUUCGUGUGAAGGCAUAUAUAUACAGCUUCAGGGGUACUGCUCCUUUCAUUAAUGGUGAGGAGAUAUUUUAUGUUGUGAUGAUGAUAAUAGGUGUCAGUAGGAGCACUAUCAUCCUACGAAUGGCUGUCAGAGACCAUGGUAGGUGAUGCGGCUGUCAGAGAUCGUGGGAAGUGAUUAUGUAGAAUGAUCGUGGGAAGUGACUUGCUGUCACUUCCUCUUGUCUUCUCACUCUGCAGGUGAUGGGAUGUGGGCCAUGGUUGCUUGUUGUGAUUGCGUGUAAGACUCGCUUUACUUUAAUUGACCAUCCAGACGAUUUAUAUCCGGAUGGCUCAUGCUGAUUAUCCGGAUGUGUUGUGGAGACUAUCAUGAUGUCUACGCUCUGCCAGCGUCGUUUGCUCUUCCUUGGAUAGGAGAAGCUGAAACGUCGUUUGCCUUUCCUUGAGGCGGUCCGGAUAGGAUAACUGCACCAUGCAUAUCCUUAGGGGAAUCCGGAUGAUGAUGGUCCGGCUGAUAACACGUGCCACGCGUCACUAUGAGCUGCGUGCCACGUGUUUCCCAAGGGGAGGGGUCCCUACAUUGCCCCCCUUUUUAACUUGCCUGUUUUGCCCAAAAAAUGGGCGGGUUAAAAAUAACUGGGUUUUUGAAAAUUGAAAAAGUCCCUUCGACUGACUGGGCCACGUGGCGAGUGGGGGUGCGGAAGCCAAAAAGGUAUUUAUGACGAGCCGCCGACCCUGUGUAUCCCCAGGCAAUAUGUCGUUUCAAUGAUAACAUGGCUGUUGGUUUGGCUUUCCGAGGGGCUGUCCUGCUAUAAAUAGGGCACUGUACCUCUUUUUGCAUUUUUUCUACUGCAUUCUCUUGAGAGCCUUUCUUCUUUAUUGGUUUUUUCUGCGUCCUUUGCUUUUCUGAGAAAAACUUCGAACGACCUCGUUUGUUUGCUGCUGGUGAUUUUUGUACCGAGAGAGUAACCGUUCUUCUUCUUCAGAGCUUUAUUUGGUACGUACCUCUUUGCUACUGUCAUUCCUUUGGUUGCGUUCGCUGGUUCUUUAAACUUGGUUUCUGGCUUGCUUGGGCAUUGUUUUGGACAAGUCGCUUGUAAUUGUUGUUGAAUGUUGGUAUUUUGUUGGUGCUCGGGGGGGGGGGGGGGGUUUGAGGGGUUUUUCUGACUGCUUUGGGUUAGGGCUUGUGUAUUUUCUGACUGCUUGGUUUUGAACCGUUGCAUUGCUUUUGUAUGUAGAUUUUGGUUUGGCUUUGUGGUAAGAAAUGGCUCCAAAAAAAAUUGUUUCAUCUGCCCGGGUCAGCGAGGCUGGCGAGAAGGCGAUAGACAAAUUGAAUGUGAAGGAGUUCCGGGAGCGGUUCUGCAUCCCAAAUGACGUGUCUAUAGAUUUGGUGAACGAGGAGGCGGCUAUGCCUACUGAGAAAGGUGAAGAAAACGUUAUCCUCUUCAUAAAGGAACAAUUCAACGCGGGGCUCCGGUUCCCUCUGCCGGCGUUGUUCAAGGAAUUCCUCCACUUCUCUCAGGUUCCACCCAUCUUCAUUCAUCCCAACCUUGUCCGGGUGCUGAUGGGGUGCAGCAUCAUCAACAUGCUGUAUAGCCUUGACCUUACGCUACUGGAAGUGUUCUUCGUCUAUUCCCUGAAAAAAGCAAAAAAUGAUAUCUUCAGUGUGUCCGCGCACCUGCCCUCCCUUCAAGCAGUGACAGAGCUGCCAGAUUCGACAAAGGGAGGGGCGAAGGGGCUGGUGGCGGUCCGGGGUGGAUGGGCGGGCCUAUCGGAGCGUGCGUCGAGGCCCUUUUCUCCAAAUUAUACCCUAAAAAUUCCGGGUAUUCUUGUUUUGCGAUUCUUUGUCCGGAUUUUACUUUGCUGACUUUUUGCUGAUUUUUCCGAACGAGAUUCUCACCUCUUGUUGCUGUUAAUGCAGGUCUGGAAUUGAGGGGCCACCUUGUGGAUUGGGUGGAAAAGGCGUCCUUCGCCUGUGUCUGUAAAUUAUUCGAGAUAGAUCCCAAGGAGAGGGCCUACAAGACACUGCUUUCCGCGCGGAAUUUGAUAGCGGUCGUCCGGGAGCCCCAGGAAUAUGUUAUCAAUAUUCUCCCCAGGAAACUGGCAAAGGAUGAGAUAGUGCCUGGGGAGCAUUAUACUGUGAAGGAGCUCCCCCUCUAUCAGGAAGCUAAAGAGGCUGACGCUGAAAGACGGCGAAAGCUCCUGGAGAAUCUAGACCAGAGGAAAAAUGAAGGCACUAUCCGGAAGGCUCCCGGACAGAAGCGCGGUCCGGAUUCUCCUCCAAAGAAAACUCCAGUAAAAAGGAGGAAGCUGGUGAAGAAGCAUGAGAAGGAUGUGAAGGAACCCACUCCUCCCAAGGAGUUCCCUCCCCCGCAAAUUACCUAUGAGAGGGGAAGUAAUGAUAGAGGAGCCAGUAAACGCUGCUCCACACUCUAUCUCAAGCGGCCCCGGACGCAUGUCGGGGUUGAAUCAUUCGGGCACUUCCUUAGCCGCGGUUGCGCCCCUGGCUAACGUGGCUGAGGAAGCUGCAUCUAUCAACCGUCCGGGCAACCUUAAUCCGGAUGCUGAUGCAGCUGAAACAACCCCGUUGGAGGAAGCGGGGGCAGAGAGCCAAAGUCAGCCUUCCGACGACCCGGAUCGCUUGGCCAUAGUCCCGAUGAAAGGACCUCCUUCAAAGAAGCCGCGUUCGACGCGCGAUUUACGGUCCGGACUCCUUGGGCGGCUUGAAAAGCGGCAGCAAGAGAUUGAAGUUAGCUGCGCUUCUGCCCAUGACGCUCAUCCGGAUGGAGGCGAGGUGGAGAUGGCAACCGAGACUUCGGCCGCCCUGGUAAUAAUUCCGGCUGAAGAUGUAUCCGGACAGAUGCGUCCGGACGAAGAUGUGGAAGUCCCGAAUCCGGGACAAGAGUUACCUUCUGUUUCCUCAUCUGAGGAGGAACCUGCUGACGAUGCAGCUCCUGCUAGCCCUUUCAGCUACGCGGAGUUGGAAGUUAAGCUAAAGCAGAUUACACCUGACUGGAAAGCCAUCAAGCCUUCCGCUAAGAUGUUUGAUAUGAUAGAAACGGUAUAUCGUUGUCUUGUGCUUUUGCUUUUUGACUCUUUGUUGCACUAAUGUGUUUGUUGUAGUACGAUUUAUAUCUUUGCUUUUUUUGUUUGCGUGUCAGCUGGUGAGGGGCCUCCGCGGCAUGGCUCAACAACACGAUCUUUUUACUCAGAUGCUGCAGACUGCAGACUAUAUGAGGACCUUCUCCUCUCGGCGCCAAGAGAUUGAAAAUCAGCUGCGUCUGAGAAUGGAGGAGGCUGAGGCCAAUCUAACCACCAUGCGAGAGGAAAAUGAAGCCCUCCGAUUGGAGUUGGCUGAGGCGAAGAGUUGAGAAGAAUCAACUGCGGGUUGCCUACAUGAGGCGGAAGGUGAGGCAGCCCGGCUAAGGGAUGAAGUGAGUCAACUCCGGACAGAAGUUUCGAAUGAAAAGAAACAGAAGGAAGACUUGCAGCUGUGCUUGGAUGUGCAAAAGAAAGAACUUGAACGGGAGUUUGCUGUGGAAAGGGAGGAACUUGCAGCGGAUUACCAGCAACAAGUUGAUGAUACGUUUAUCUUUGGGUAUCGCUGCUGCAUGAAGAAGAAUGGUAUCAAGCGAGAUACCCCUUCGAUUCCUCCGGGUGAAGAAAAAAAGCUCCACGAGAAGCCCGCUCCCUGAUAGUUUAUCUCUUUUUGCAAUUUUUCUGCUGUAAUUUUUCCUUCUGUAUUUUUGUGGUCCGGAGGUCUCUUUGUAAUUACAUUUAUUCAUAUCAAUAAAAACACACUUCUUUCUCAUUUGUACUUGUGUCUACUUUUUAUUGAUAGUACUGCUUUAAAUUGGACACAUUCCAUGGUCUGAGUAACGGAGUGCCAUCUAGCUUUUGUAAAUGACAGACUCCAUUUUCGUUUGCCUUAGACACUAUGUAGGGUCCUUCCCAAUUGGCUUGGAACUUUCCUGCGCCUACUUCAGCAGUAUUUUCAAAAACUUUUCUAAGUACUAGCGUACCAUUUUUGAAGUUUCUGGGCUUGACUUUUUUAUUGUAAUGCGCUGAUGCCCUUUGUUGAUAAUCUGCCAUCCGGAUGGCCGCGCUUUCUCUGACUUCGUCUGCCCAGUCCAAAUUUCUUCAUAGUUUUGUGUUGGCAUCUUCUUGUUUUGCUGCAUCGGUCCGGAUAGUAGGAAGACCUAUUUCAGUGGGAAUGACUGCGUCCAUUCCAUAUGUGAGGGCGAAAGGAGUGUUUCCUGUCGGCCGUCCGGGUGUGGUUCGAUAGGCCCACAGGACGCCGGGUAGCUCUUCCACCCACUUCCCUUUGGCUUGUUCAAGCCUUUUCUUUAAGGCAUUGAUUAGAGUUUUGUUUGUGGCUUCCGCUUGCCCAUUGCUUUGAGGAUAACGUGGCGUGGAGUAUGAAUUCCGGAUAUUCAAUUCCGAACAGAAAUUCCUGAAUGCAAUGCUGUCAAAUUGUGGACAAUUGUCAGCUAUGAUGAUUUGGGGAAUUCCAAAGCGGCAAACAAUGUUCUUCCAUACAAAUUUGGUGACAUCUUUAUCUUUGAUGCUUGCAUAUGCUUCAGCUUCUACCCAUUUACUGAAAUAAUCAGUGGCGACAAGGAGGAAUUUCUUCUGGGCAGGUGCUGCUGGGAGGGGUCCCACUAUGUCCAUGCCCCACUGCGCGAAAGGCCAUGGGCUUGAGACCGAUUUCAAUGCUGCUGAUGGCACAUGUGGAAUGGGAGCGUAUCUUUGACAUUUGUCACACUUUUGGACAUAUGCUGCUGCGUCUUUCUUCAUUGUUGGCCAAUAGUAUCCUUGUGAAUGAGCUCUAUGUGCCAGGGAUCGUCCUCCCGUAUGAUUUCCGCAUAUUCCCUCAUGUAAUUCAGCUAGCACAUACUGGGCUUCUGAAUGCCCAAGACAGCGAAGAUAAGGCCCUGUGAAAGAUCGUUUGUACAGGUGUCCCCCGAUCAGGGUGAAACGAGCAGCUUGCACUCGAAUUUUGUGUGCUUGUUUAGGAUCUUCGGGUAAAGUGUCUGCCCGGAGAUAUUCUGCAAUAUUAUGCGUCCAUUCUUGAUCAUCCGUUUGGUUUGCCUCAAUGGUGUUGCAAGUGGAAUCUUCUGUGACAGAGGGAUUGGCUUGCACAUGUAUGGGCAGUAGAAUGGCUUUUUUGAUAGGGAGGGAGGCAGCUAUGCCGGCCAAAGCGUCAGCGUGCCUAUUGUCAGCUCGCCUAAUUUUUUCGAUUGUCCACUCGGUGAAUUGCUGUAAGGUGCUUCUUACUUUGGCCAAGUAUCGCGCCAUGCGUGCGUCCUUAGCCUCAUAUUCUUUCUGGACGUGCCUUACCACUAGUUGCGAGUCGCUAUAGAUCCGGAGUUUGGAGACGGAUAGAGCAAGGGCGAGGUCCAAUCCGGACAGGAUGGCCUUGUAUUCUGCUUCAUUGUUAGACGCGGAGAAUCCCAACUGGAUGGCUUGCUCCAGAUGUUCCCCAGUUGGGGACUGUAGUAAGAGCCCAACUCCAGAGCCUGAUGAGUGUGAGGCUCCGUCAACUCGUAGUGUCCACCACUCCUGUUCACUUGAUUCGUGGUGCUGGUUGGGUCUUCGUGAAUAUUCGAGCACAAAGUCGGCCAUUACUUGGCCUUUUUUGGAUAAUCUGGGUUGGAAUUCGAUUCCAAAUUCGCUCAAUUCGAUGGCCCAUUGUAGCAUUCGCCCAGUUAAAUCUGGUUUGUGCAGAAUGCUACGAAGGGGUUGGUCGGUCAGUACAAUCACUGGGUGGGCUUGAAAAUAGGGGCGGAGCUUUUGGGCAGCACUUCGAAGAGUUAAGGCUGUUAGCUCCAUUUUUUAAUACCUGGUUUCUACAUCUGCCAAUGCCCUGCUGACAUAGUAGACAGGUUUCUGCUCCUUUGGUGAAGGGCAGCGGAAUAGAACGGCGCUGAUUGCCCAUUCUGAGACAGCCAGAUACAUGUAUAGCUUCUCCUUUGGGAUGGGGCUGCUCAAGAUGGGUGGAUGCAUAAGACAAUGUUUAAUUCUUUCCAACGCGUUUUGGCAAUUGUCCGUCCACCCAUGCGUUCCAGCUUUUCGUAUCGCCAAGAAGAAGGGUCGCAACUCAUCAGUGAAGCGGGCUAUGAAACGUCCUAACGCAACGAGCUUGCCUGUGAGGCGUUGUAACUCCUUUUUGUUCCUGGGAGGAGGUGUCUCCAUGACUGCUUUGACUUGAUCCGGGCUGACUUCUAUGCCUCUUUGGCUGACCAUAAAUCCCAAAAAUUUGCCAGCACUCACGCCAAAGGCGCAUUUAGAAGGAUUUAGCUUCAUGCCAUACCUUCGCAAGAGAUGAAAAACUUCUUGUAAGUGAAGAUCAUGCUGCUCUCGGGUUUUGCUUUUAACCACAAUGUCAUCAAUAUACACUUCUACCGUGUGGCCUAUUAGAGGUUUGAAGAUUUUAGUCAUUAAUCUCUGAUAAGUGGCGUCAACAUUCUUGAGUCCGAAUGGCAUGACUUUGUAGCAGUAGAGGCCAUGUGGUGUUAUGAAUGCUGUCUUUUCUUCGUCAUCCGGAGACAUGGGAAUCUGGUGAUAUCCGGAGAAGGCAUCCAAGAAAGAGAGCAUUCCUUGCCCGGAAGUGGAAUCCACAAUUUGAUCUAUUCGUGGUAAGGGAAAACUGUCUUUUGGACAUGCGUUAUUGAGAUUGGUGUAAUCAACACAGACUCGCCAUUUGCCUUCUUUCUUUGGUACCACCACUACAUUUGCCAACCAAUCCGGAUAAGAUACUUCUCUGAUGAAUCCGGCUUCCAGCAAUUUGUCAAUUUCAUUUUGGAUAACUUUUUGUCUAUCCGGAUGAAAGCGUCUAAUCUUCUGUCGAACGGGUCUGGCUGCUGGAAAGAUGUUAAGCUUGUGAGAGGCAAUAGAGGGAUGAAUUCCCUUCAUGUCCGAAUGUGUCCAUGCGAAGAUGUCAUGGUUGUUUUGAAGGAUAUUUUGUAUGCUCUGAGUUUCCUCUUGUGUCAUGAGGGAACUGAUGUUUGUGAGGUGAUCAUUCUCUUCUGAGAUUUGGAUUGUUUGUAAGGGAUCUGCUGCCGGGGGAUCCUUGUCCGCCGGACUCAAUAAUUGCUAUUGGUCAUGCGUAUGGCUGGGCUCAGGGGGGGAUGCAUCCUCCUGGCUAGUUCCCGCUUCUCGUGCUAUUUGAUAGCACUGUCGAGCGGCCAACUGGCUGCCAUAUAAGUCAGUUUGCCAUUCGUUGGUGAGGAAACUCACCAUUUGAUGAUAUGUGGAAGGGAUGGCUUUCAUGUAAUGAAGCCAUGUGCGUCCCAAGAUAACAUUGAAGGGUGAUAACUCUUGUACCACUGAGAAUUGCACGUUGAGAGUGACUGGGCCAGCUUGGACCGGCAGUAUAAUGUCUCCUAAGGAUGUGGUUGAUGACCCGUUGAAUCCGGAUAAGAUUCGUCCGGGGUUUUCGAGACCUGCGAGACUAUGUCCCAUAUGGCCAACGACUGAUGCUUGCACCAGAUCAGCUGAAUUGCCUGGGUCGACCAAGAUACGUCUUACAUCGAAAUCUCCUAUUUCUAGGGAGAGGAUGAGGGCGUCGCGAUGUGGCUGUAGCGUCCGAGUGGGAUCUACUGGUGGGAAAAUGAUUGUCCCAUCUAUGGGGCGAGGGCCCUCUCCAGUGAGACCCGGCCGGAUGGAAUUAAUGCGUUCGCGUAUUAACGCGGCUCGCAGCAAUUUCUGCCUUUUCCGCCUGGAAUCGUAUUCCUCGUCAGAUGGGCCCCCGUUGAUAUAGUUUAUGACAGCCUUGGGGGCGACUGGGGCCCUCGGGGCCCCAGAGUUAUGAUGUUGAGAUGCGUCCCUUCCUCCAGUAUCUGAGCGGAGGUAUUGUUUUAAAUGUCCUGCUUUGAUGAGCCUUUCAACUAGAUACUGGAGGGACCGACAUGUCUCUGUUGUAUGACCAUGGUCUUUGUGGAAGGCGCAUUUCUUGCUGCGGUCUCUUAUGGAUGGGUUCGUUUCGAGGGGUUUAGGCCACCUGAAGUCGGACAACCCCUGGAUCAUUGGGAGAAGUUUUUCAUAUGAUACAGAUAGGAGUGUGAUGGGCGGCCUAUCCGGACGACUCGGCCCGUCCUGCCUUCGGUCAACUGGUUUUGGCCGAUCCGGAGGUUUGGCAUGUCUGUCCGCGUUAUCUCUAGAAGCCCGUCCGGCAACCAAAACUUGCUGAGUGGCUGCACGUACGUCAUCUUCAAGCAUUGAAUAUUUGUUAGCACGUCUGAACAAAUCGUCCAUCGUUGUAGGAGGCUUUUUGGCCAGCGAUUCGAAAAAUGGAGUGCCUGGACAGAUGCUUCUCUUGAAGAUCUGUAGGACAACAUCCAUGCUGCAAACCUCUAUUUGGAGUACGGCUUGGCCAAAUCGUUUCACAAAUUCCCUCAAGGAUUCGUUGUCUCUCAUUUUUAUGUUCUGGAGGGUGCUGAUAUUCUGCUUGUGUCGAGCGGAGCACAAGUACUGUCCCACGAAUGCUUCAGAGAGGUCCCUGAAAUUGUCAACAGAGUUAGGAGGUAGGCGAUGAAACCAUGAGAGGGCCUGCCCUUGAAGGCUGGCGGGGAAUACUUUGCAUAGCAAUGCAUCGUUGCCAAUAUCGAGCGUCAUGAGCUGUCGAUAGUGCAUGAUGUGAUCAAAGGGAUCGUUGGUCCCAUCGUAUGUGGAAAACUUUGGUACGAGGAAUCCCCUUGGGGGCUCGUAAUGGGUGAUAUGAGAGCAAAAGGGUGUGGAGAGCAUGUCAUCCAGCCUUUUGCUGAUGGAGCCAAUGGGUGGCUCGUUUGGGAGGUUUCUCCCAGCUGGUCGUUCCGCUAGGUGUGAGUGAACGUUCCGCAUCGCUGGGGUGACCAUGGGGUCACGAUGCGGAGGUACGUUCUGCACCAUGGGAGCGAUCAUAGGAUCGGGGUGUGGUACCCGGGUUGUGGCUACUGGUGGCCUUGAUCUCCCAAGCUCUUGUGGGCCUAGUCUUGCGCGCAUAGAACUUGACAACUGUGAUUUUCUAUCACGUUGUCUUUUUGCUGAAAAAUUAGUGGAAUCUGAGCUUUCCUCAAGGGGAGCUCGAGGCAUGGGUGUGCGUGGCUCAUGGGGCCUUGCGUUGUAUGCUCCUGGGACAGCUCUUGUUGACCCAAGAUAUAUUGAUUCUGGCUCUAGCCUUGAGUUUGCCACCUGGCCUCUUGAACGCUGACGAUGAGGAGGACCUGACGUUGAGGCUUGAAUGCGUAACACAGCGUUUUCUUCCCUUAAUCUCUCCGUCUCCUGGAGGAGAACUCUUAGCUGUUUUUCGCUCGCCAACUGUCUUUUUUCGAUGGCCUGACGCCAUUCGUGAUUAUCUUCCUCCUCUCUACCAGAUGAUCGACUUUGGGAAGGUGUGGCCAUCUUUGCUAGUGACUGAAUAAAAAAUAAAAAAUAAAGAUUCCCACAGACGGCGCCAAUGUUGUCACCUCGCGUAUCCUGUGGUCCACGUUGCUGCUAGAUGGAUGGACACGCGAUUCUCAACACAUAAAGGGUUCUUGAUUCAGCGGUUGUACCUACAAAAGGCAUCCGGACAGGGUGUCCGGACACACCCUCCGAUGGUUUUGUUAGCCAUGGUAAGAGAGAGAGAUAUAAAUCAGUUGGCCUUUUACUAGGUCUCAAGAGAUUACCAGGGGAUCCCUUUCUUCUUCGUGUGAAGGCAUAUAUAUACAGCUUCAGGGGUACUGCUCCUUUCAUUAAUGGUGAGGAGAUAUUUUAUGUUGUGAUGAUGAUAAUAGGUGUCAGUAGGAACACUAUCAUCCUACGAAUGGCUGUCAGAGACCAUGGUAGGUGAUGCGGCUGUCAGAGAUCGUGGGAAGUGAUUAUGUAGAAUGAUCGUGGGAAGUGACUUGCUGUCACUUCCUCUUGUCUUCUCACUCUGCAGGUGAUGGGAUGUGGGCCAUGGUUGCUUGUUGUGAUUGCGUGUAAGACUUGCUUUACUUUAAUUGACCAUCCAGACGAUUUAUAUCCGGAUGGCUCAUGCUGAUUAUCCGGAUGUGUUGUGGAGACUAUCCGGAUGUCUACGCUCUGCCAGCGUCGUUUGCUCUUCCUUGGAUAGGAGAAGCUGAAACGUCGUUUGCCUUUCCUUGAGGCGGUCCGGAUAGGAUAACUGCACCAUGCAUAUCCUUAGGGGAAUCCAGAUGAUGAUGGUCCGGCUGAUAACACGUGCCACGCGUCACUAUGAGCUGCGUGCCACGUGUUUCCCAAGGGGAGGGGUCCCUACAGAUUUGGGUCAUUGUUGGAUUGCAUAUGCUUUGGUUCAUUGGACUGCUCUUGGCUACAAGGGAGCCCCACUGGCAGCUUCCAUUUCACUCUGGCUGUCGACCAUUAUGCUCGUUGUUUAUGUGAAGUAUGCCAAGAGAUUUGGGGAUACAUGGAAAGGGUUUUCAUCUGAAUCAUUCAGUCACAUUCCCUCAAACUUGAAAUUGGCACUGCCCUCUGCUGCAAUGGUGUGGUAAGUGUUGACUUAUUUUUUUGGGUGAUGCUUAAAACCCCACAUUUUUCCACAAAAAUGAGUCAUAGAUCUUACUGUGUUCUCCCAGUCUGGAGUACUGGGCAUUUGAGAUUUUGGUUUUGCUAGCUGGGUUGAUGCCUAAUUCAGAAACAACCACUUCAUUAAUAGCAAUGUGGUAAGUUUCAGUCUCUGUGUUUUUUCCUUCCUGGUUUGUAACUGUUCCAACCUGCUCAAAAUAUUCAAGCCUGUUAGUCUUUCUGAUCCGAAUCUUUCAGUGUGAACACAGGAGCUAUAGCAUUCAUGAUUGCUUAUGGUCUCAGUGCAGCAGCAAGGUCAGUCCGGCAGUAGAAUCAUAUAUGAGAUUCUUUCUGAUUCCCUUUUUCAUAAUUCAUCUCAUUGAAUAAAACCAACUUGCUGUAAGCCUGCAACAGCACAAGGGUGUCAAAUGAACUGGGAGCAGGCAAUCUGGACCGAGCCAAGCACGCCAUGGCAGUGACUCUCAAGAUCACCGACUGUCUUGCUUUGCAGUUGUUCUACUCCUAGCCCUUUACCACAAUAUCUGGGCUAGCUUUUUCAGUGAUAGCACUGUCAUAAUAAAGGAUUAUGCUUACAUGGCACCCCUGCUUGUAGCCUCAAUACUAUUAGACAGUACACAAGGUGUCCUUUCAUGUAUUAAUGAUCCCUAUCCUCCACAUCGAUCACUAUUUAUAUCUCCAUUUUGCUUGGAUGUGACUGAUUUUUGUUGGUCCAUGGGUGGUAAGACCGUAAGAGGAUGUGGCUGGCAGCAUAUGGCCAACUUGGCUACGUUCUAUUUGAUCGGCAAUGGCAUGCCCAUCGCAGUACUCCUCGCCUUUAAAUUGAAACUAUAUGCUAAGGUAACCAUGGAGGAAAAUAUCGUGUAUUGGAGGGUAUCAAUAUCAAUACGAUAUUUCAUGGAGAAAUAUCGGUUUCGGGAGAAAUUCCAAAAAAUUGAUUAGCGAUUUUUCUCGGGUCAACAGUAGUCAAACGCGCUACAGUGCCUGAAAAAAGGUCCUUCCUUUUGGUGCUGAGGAGAUUUGAACCCCAAACCUUUGGGGUUCAACCCAUACCCACUUACCAUCCGGGCAAACUUACCCUUAUUAUAUAAUAUGCACUAAAUAUAUAUAGUUAAACUCAUUAUAUAAAUAAAAUAUUAAAAAAAUAUUUUAAAGAGCAAACUAAUUAUAAUUAUUUUAUAAUUAAAUGCAAAAUUUUCUUUUAAUUGAUUACCAAAAAUAUAAAAACUAUAUAAUUUUUUUCAUAAUGUUUUUAAUAUCAUUAAUAAUUAAUUAAAAAUUUAAAAAUUAUACAUAUAUCAUAAUUUAUUUUAUAUUGUUUAAUAAAAUUGAAUUAAAUGGAUCAUAAUUUUAAUAUUAAUAUAUAUUUUAAAAUUAGACAUAUUACAAUCAAAUAUCAUAAUAUUAGAUGUAAUUUAAUAAUAAAUAUACACUUAUAAAAUUUAUAUUUUUAUCGAUACAUAUAAUAUUAUUAUCAAAUAUGAUAAAUCAUAUUAUACAUAUAUCAAAUUAUUUAAUAAAACAACUUAAAAAUAUCAUUAUACUUCUAAUUACAUUUUUAUAAAGUUUUUCUUAUAUUUUUAUAAAUUUCGAUCAAUUUUAGGCUUAUCGAUAUUUUUUUUCAAAAUAUCUGUCGAUAUAUCUCCAAUAUAUCCGUGAUUACUGAUAUUUUCAUCCUUGAAGGUAACACAAAUAUUGUUAACAAUCUGACUUGAAUCAAUCCAAAUUAACAUCAAUGCCAAGUUUUUAUGACUCUCUUGUGUUGACAUAGGGCUCGUGGACAGGAUUGAUUUGUGGCCUCUCAUGCCAGGCUGCAAGUUUGUUGUUCAUAACACUAUGUACCAAAUGGACAAGACUAGAGCUCUCUAUGAGCCUGCGAAAAAAAAGGGGGAAACUUGUGUUUUGAUGGGACCAUUUGGGAAAUAGAUCAAUAAACUUUGACAUGGAGACCCGAAGGGCAAUCUCAGCACAAAAAAUGAAGCCGACUCAAAGUGUAUAAAAACAAUAUUACUUUCCAUAUUAAAAGCUGGUUAUCAUAUUUCAUAAAAUUGAGUUUGAAAAAUCAUAUAUUUCCCAAAUGGCCCAUCAAAACACAAGUUUCCCAAAAUGGGGAGGUGAUUAAUUGAUUGGUGGAUAUAAACCAAACAAAGGCUAGUGACAGUUCUCUGUUGAGAAACAUGGUUACUUUUGGCAAUUAUAACAAAAAGGUCAUUUGAUUUUUUUUAAAGAAUUACCUAUUAUUCUACGGUCUAAUGAGAUUUUGAAGUUAUAUUUCAUCCUGAAUGAAACUAUAAAAAUUUGAGAAUCACUCGGUUUUCACAAUACAAAUUCCUAAAUUUUCGUUUUCAAAAAAAAAAAAAAAUCAAAUAAAAAAACCUUUCUUACAAAAUCGAAUUCUUUCGAUUAAAAGAGUUUUUUUCUUUAUGAUAUAUAGUAGCAGUUUCUAGGUAGUUUUAACUCUCAUAAUUGUUCAUAUUCCUCAUUUUAUUGGAUCAGGUUGGAUCAAAUGUUGCCCUUAAAAACAUUUAUAAUAAAAACAUAAUAGAUUAAAUUACUCAUAAGUAGACUUUUGCUAUCAAAUAAGUUCUUCUUUAUUAGUUUAUCCCGUGAAAUAUGAAUUUGGAUCAUUUUAUAAAAUUAAAAUAUUUAUCUAUGAUUAUAUAAUUUUUUUUUUAAAAAAUUAUUAGAGUGAAAAUUACAAUUAAAUUAUUUUGAUUAUGUCACUAAAUUGAAUGGGUCACUUUGUUUGCUUUUAAUGUAAAACAGAUACAUUCCAAAUUUUGGAUAAGGACUUGCUCUUUAUAAGCUUGUUGCCCCAUGAGUUUUUAUUUUGACUCUUUUGUCCCAAGAAAGCCCCACUCAGAAGAGAUGGUGGUGGACCGGGUGUGAUCAAAUCACACAAGACUCCCAAAUUUUUGGUCAAUGCUUUUUAAAAUAGUUGUAAAAAAUAAUUUUUGAAAAUGGUUUUUAAUUAUUUUUGUAAAUAUUUGUUUUGAAAACUCAAAUAAAAAAAAAAUUAAUAUGUAGAAUCAGGGACGAAAAUGCCCUCCAAAGUCAUAGCCAUGGCUUAGUCAAAUCCCAUUUCUUAAGUUUUUUAUAUACUCAAUAGUUUGUCAUAGCCCAUGACUUCAGUGCGAUUGAUUAUAGCCCAUGGUUUGACUUGUUGAAUAAUAUUUUUGGUUCUGAAAUAAAUCCCUCAUGAAUGCAAUCUCAGGCUAUUUAUUUUUCUGUUUAUUCUCUGCCUUAAAGCAAAAUACCAGAAACCAGAAACCCAAAAACUUCCACCACACAAUCAGAUUACUUUGUACACGAUUAUCAGCUGGCUUUAAAUUAUGGCUCUCCCUCCUGUCCUCUUUUGCCAGUUGCUUUUCUUUUGAAUUGUUUUUUGGGUACACUCCCAUAUGAGACGAAAGCAUGUUUAUAGCUUGAAGCACGUUUUGGAGUCGAGGUGGAUCUUUUGACUAGUAGUUAAUGGAUUGUUUGAAAAUUAGGUAUAGGUUUUUCUAUCCAUACAUAGAGCAAUCGAGUAUUUUGAGAUAUUAUUAUGUCAUUCACCUUGCGGGAAACCCAAGGGAGAGGAGUGGAGGAAGUAGCAGACGAGGACUUGCAGAAGUAGAGGAAGAGGAAGAGGAAGAGGAAGAAUAAAUAUAUAUUGAUAUGGGGAUGUUUGAGAAUGAUAACAGUGGUUCAAGUACUGCUAGUCCUCUGUUGGAGGUUGUGGGUGGUGGUGAUGGAGGAGAAAGGAGGGGUGGGAGGUGGUGGUGGUGGAAGAGAGUGCUGGAUGUGGAGGAGGCCAAGAAGCAAGUCUUGUUUGGCCUCCCAAUGAUCCUCACCAAUGUUUUCUACUACUCCAUCACCUUGGUUUCAGUCAUGUUCGCCGGCCACCUAGGUGAGCUCGAGCUCGCCGGCGCCACCCUCGCCAACUCAUGGGCCACUGUCACUGGCAUCGCAUUUAUGGUGAUCCUCUCUCUUUUUUGAAGUACUUUUCUUUGAAUGAAUUUAUUAAUAAUUUAAUAUUCAUUUAUUUUUCUUGCUUUCUUUCUUUCUUUUUUUUUUUUUUGGACAAACCGACCUUUUUGUCUAGUUGGGUUUGAAUUGAGCUACCCUAAUUAGAAGGCCUACACAAUGAUCAAGCUCAUUUUUCUUGUUGUAGAUUGGUCAAAGUGGUGCACUGGAGACCCUUUGUGGGCAAGGAUAUGGGGCAAAAUUGUAUAGGAUGUUGGGAAUCUAUCUCCAAGCAUCUUCCAUCAUUACAAUAUUCUUCUCCUUCAUUAUAUCCAUCAUUUGGCUCUACACACAACCCAUUCUGAUCUUUCUUCAUCAAAGCAGUGAGAUCUCCAUAGCAGCUGCUCUCUACAUGAAGUAUCUUGUGCCUGCAAUCUUUGCAUAUGGCUUCCUGCAAAACAUUCUGAGGUUUCUCCAGACACAGUCUGUUAUCUGGCCCCUUGUAGUCUGCUCAGGCCUCCCUUUACUCAUCCAUUUUGGGAUUGCAUAUGCUUUGGUUCAUAGGACUACUCUUGGCUACAAGGGAGCCCCACUGGCAGCUUCCAUUUCACUAUGGCUUUCGACCAUUAUGCUCGCUGUUUAUGUGAAGUAUGCUAAGAUAUUUGGGGAUACAUGGAAAGGGUUUUCAUCUGAAUCAUUCAGUCACAUUCUCUCAAACUUGAAAUUAGCACUGCCCUCUGCAGCAAUGGUGUGGUAAGGUGCCUUCAACCUUCUGUUAUUCAGUUGAUAUUUUUUCUGGGAUGUUUAAAACCCUACCUUUUUUCACAAUACUGAGUCAUAGAUCUUAUUGUGUUCUUCCAGUUUGGAGUACUGCGCAUUUGAGAUUCUGGUGUUGCUAGCUGGGUUGAUGCCUAAUUCAGAAACAAGCACUUCAUUAAUAGCAAUGUGGUAAGUUUCAGUCUGUCUGUUUUUUUUACCUGGUUUGUAAUUGUUCUAACCUGAUCAAAAUAUUCAAGCCCGUUAGUCUUUCUGGUCUGAAUCUUUCAGUGUGAACACAGAAGCUAUAGCAUACAUGAUUGCUUAUGGUUUCAGUGCAGCAGCAAGGUCAGUCAGGCAGUAGAAUCAUCUAUUAUCUUUCUGAUUCUGAUGCCUCUUUUUUGUAAUUCAUUCCAUUGAAUAAAACCAACUUGCUGAAACAGCACAAGGGUAUCAAAUGAGCUGGGAGCAGGCAAUCCGGACCGAGCCAAGCACGCUAUGGCAGUGACUCUCAAGAUCUCCAUCUGUGUUGCUCUUGUAGUUGUUCUACUCCUAGCCCUUUGUCACAACAUCUGGGCUAGCUUCUUCAGUGAUAGCACUGUCAUAAUAAAGGAUUUUGCUUACAUGACACCCCUGCUUGUAGCCUCAAUACUAUUAGAUAGUGCACAAGGUGUCCUUUCAGGUACUAAUCAUCCCUAUCCUCCCCAUUGAUCACUAUUUGUAUCUCCAUUUUUCUUGGAUGUAACUGGUUUUUGUUGGUCCAGGGGUGGCAAGAGGAUGUGGCUGGCAGCAUAUCGCCAUGUACAUCAACUUGGCUACGUUCUAUCUGAUCGGCAUGCCCAUCUCAGUGCUCCUCGCCUUUAAGUUGAAAUUAUAUGCUAAGGUAACACAGAUAUUGUAACUGUCUGACUUGAAUAAAUCCAAACUAAUGCCAAUGCCAAGUUUUUCUGACUCUGUUGUGCUGACACAGGGCUUGUGGAUAGGACUGAUCUGUGGCCUCUCAUGCCAGGCUGCAAGUCUGUUGUUCAUAACACUACGCACCAACUGGACAAGCAUAAAGCUCUCUGUGAGCUGCGAAAAAGAAAAUCCAGAGCUGAUUAACUGAUUGAUGAACAUAUGCAGAUAAACCAAAUAGAGUCUCAUUAAAUGUUGGAGCUCAGUUCACUGCUCUGUUGAUCAAGAACAAGGAUUAAGUAAUAUCAGCUGCAGUUUUUUCAGAUACUAUUGACAAUAGAUAGAUAUAGGAUCAAUGGGCAACUAUGCCCUAUCCAGAAGCAAUAAGGUCAAAAUUGAGAAAAGGACAUCGAAUUUGUCAUAAAUGUAAUAAAUUUUGGAAAACUUUGUUUUCUAAAUAGUGACAAUAGAGAAGACCUACAAUGGGUCCAUGAUGGAACAUCUGGUUUGAUUGAUUGUUUCUUUCUUUCUUUCUUUCUUCUAUUUUUUGUCCAUGAUUUUCAGCAUAUCAAGCAUACUUAUCUUUGACUGACUAAAGGGCUUCUCCCAUUUUCAGCAAAGCAAAAUACAAGACAAAUUCUCAAUCCAACAUGCAUACCAUCCAUGUGUCCUAAAUCUGUGUGCACCACAUAAUUGGAAUCUACAGAUCAGGUGAAAGGCUCUCUGCUGUCCUUUUUGACCAGUUCUCCCAAAAAACCAUCUCAGAAGAUGAAAGAGGACUAGAGGAUGUGACAAAUCACAAAUGAUGAGGAAGAGGGCUUGAAGAAGUGUAGGGAGGUUAUACAGAAAGGGAUGUCUGAGAAUACUAGUUGUGCAGAUGCUAGUCCUCUGCUAGAGGGUGUUGAUGAUGAUCAUGGAGGAGAAAGGAGGGACGGGAGGUGGUGGAAGAGAGUUUUGGAUGUAGAGGAGGCCAAAAAGCAGCUCUUGUUUGGACUUCCAAUGAUCCUUUCCAAUGUUUUUUACUAUUCCAUCACUCUGGUAUCUGUCAUGUUCGCUGGCCACCUGGGGGACCUUGAGCUUGCUGGCUCCAACCUUGCCAACUCAUGGGCCACUGUCACUGGUUUGGCUUUCAUGGUCUGUUUUCCCAUCUAGCUUGCACCCAUCAAUGGUUUGGGGAUUCAAGUUUUUUCGGUUUUAAUUCACUUACUGUGAACAGAUGAAAUAGACCAAGCCACAAAAUUUGUUGUUUUUCUUCUUGUAGAUUGGUCUGAGUGGUGCACUGGAGACACUAUGUGGGCAAGGAUAUGGUGCGAAACUGUAUAGAAUGUUGGGGAUUUAUCUUCAAGCCUCUUGCCUCGUAUCAUUAUUCUUCUCUAUCUUUAUAUCCAUUCUUUGGCUCUACACAGAACCAAUCUUGAUCUUACUUCACCAAGAUUCACACAUCUCAAAAGCAGCUGCCCUUUACAUGAAGUAUCUUGUGCCUGGAAUCUUUGCAUAUGGCUUCCUGCAAAACAUUUUGAGGUUUCUUCAGACACAGUCCAUCGUGUUGCCUCUUGUCGUAUGCUCACUGCUCCCAUUAGUGAUCCAUGUUGGCUUUGCAUAUGUUCUGGUUCAUUGGACAGUUCUUGGCUACAAGGGAGCAGCGCUGGCAGCUUCGGUUUCAUUGUGGAUAUCAGUCCUGAUGCUAGCCUUGUAUAUGAGUUAUGCCAAGAAAUUUGAGCAUACAUGGAAAGGAUUUUCUUUCGAGUCAUUCAGUUAUAUUCUAACAAACUUGAAAUUGGCUCUUCCCUCUGCUGCAAUGGUGUGGUAAACCGUCUCAAUUUCUCUAUCAUUAUUCUCUUUGGGCAAAAAGCCUAAAACCCCAGGUUUUGGUCUCAUAAAACUUGGAUUUUCCUUACCAUUUUCCUUAUUCAUUGCUUGCAUUCUGCCAGUUUGGAGUUCUGGGCAUUCGAGAUUCUAGUGUUCUUAGCUGGACUGAUGCCAAAUUCAGAAACUACUACUUCAUUAAUCGCGAUGUGGUAAGUCUGUAACCCUUUUCUCCUGAUCGUAACUCUUAUAAACCUCUUCUCAAUGCUUGACUCCACCCUCUCUUCUUGGACUUUAUCCUCAGUGUGAACACAGAAAAUAUAGCAUACAUGAUUUCUUAUGGCCUCAGUGCAGCAGCAAGGUCAGUUCCUAUACUAAAUUUCCUGGUAUUCAAUGUUUAAUCCCAUCAAAUAAACAUGAGUACUUGCUCCAACAGCACAAGGGUGUCAAAUGAGCUUGGAGCCUGCAAUCCCAACCGGGCUAAGACCGCCAUGGCUGUCACUCUCAAGCUUGCUCUCCUCCUUGCUGUGUUAGUUGUUGUAGUCCUAGCCCUUGGUCACAACAUCUGGGCUAGCUUCUUCAGUGAUAGCAGAGUCAUAAUAAAGGACUAUGCCUCCAUGGUGCCCCUGCUUGCAAUCUCAAUACUAAUUGACUAUGCACAAGGUGUCUUUUCAGGGGUGGCCAGAGGAUGUGGCUGGCAGCACUUGGCUGUGUACAUCAACUUAGCUACAUUCUACUGCAUUGGUGUGCCAAUUGCCAUCCUUCUUGGGUUUAAAUUGGAGCUACAUGUCAAGGUGAUGAGCAAUCUGAAUUAGUAGAGACUAGCAAAGCAGGCACUUUGUGAUUUUUUGUGUUUCUAUUGUUCUGGUGCAGGGCUUGUGGAUAGGCCUAAUAUGUGGUCUCUCAUGCCAAGCUGGGAGUCUUAUGUUGAUCACACUGCACACCAAAUGGACAAGAGUGGAGCUCUCUGUGAACCAAGAAAAAGAAAACCCCAAGCCGGUUAAUUGAAUUUAUGAUAUCCCACCUCAGGUAAGGAAAGAAUUUUCUGACAUUAUAUAUGUGGUGGGUUUCUCUUAACUGGGUAAGCACAUUUUAAAGCCACAAGAACCCUAUGGAUUCAAAGGCUAAUAUGAUGAUAGAUGGUAUUAGGAAGCAUGUGCAUUUGAGAAGCUUGAUUACUGAUAUAAUCAACAAUGUGUUUGAAUCCCAAAUGGGGAAGAAACUAUAAAAAGAAUCAGAAAGCUGUUUGGUUGAUGAGAAAUUUAGGACAGAACAAGGUAGUUAAGGUAACAAUUAUUUACUAAAAUAUGACAUAAAGUCAACACACACCCCAGUAAGUUCCACCAUAUUUUCCUCUUCAUCACAAGUUAAUCAAACAAACAAAUGUCUCUCAGCCCAAAGCCACAAACCCCGUAAACCCUUAUAAUUAGCACCGGCAUAUUCUCCAUAUCCUCCAUUGCAUUCAAGGCUAGCUAGCUAACUCUACUAUCCUCCAGGGGCUCAGAAGGCGCGAGACCGGAACUCAGAGAAAUGGCUCGCAGCAAAGUUGCACUGCUUCUGAGAAGGCCUGCUAUGAUUCAUGCUUCCCUACUUGCAUGAAGCUGAAGCACGUAACCGCAGAGCUUUGUAACACAGAAUGCAAUGGCCUUUGCACCAAUCAGUUAUCAAGUGUGCACAAGAUCCAUUAAUCUCUAAUUAAUUUACAACCAAUUUGUAUGCAUGGAGGGUUGACCUCAUGGCCUCCCAGCCCUAGGAUUUGAAUAUUGAUGAAUAAAAUGAAGCUUUUUUGUUUAUAAUUUCUGCAAUAUGCAUAUUUAAUUCUAUGUUUUCUACAAUUGUAUUGAUAUUUAUUGCCAAUUUCUCCAUCCUCAUUCUAUAUGUGAUGGCUAUCUAUUAAGUCAUGUGUAAUUGAUUAUGUUAAACUUUAGAUGAAUUUUUUUUAAAUUUACAAGUUAUUAUCACUACCUGACAAAUUAAACUUUUAGAUUAAAUUGAUAUCUAAAAUUUUGUUAAAUAAAGAUUUCAUUAAAGAUCUUGAGUUUGAAUUGUUUUAUGAGUUAGAAUAUCAUUCUAACUUUCACUUGUCUUUGGCCAAUUCACUACCUUAGAUGUUGAAGGCGCCCUUGAGGUGAUCUCAUAGAUCCUACAGAGUGGAGACAAUGGGGUCGGUUCAAUGUAUUUUCCUUCUUUUUGUUGCAUUUCACUCAAAGGAUUGUAUUGCAAAUUUUAUUUUAAGUCACCAGUUUUCUUUACUAUCUCAGAUUUUGUUUUAGUUGGUCAUAAAAGCAGGGAAAGUUUCCUCUUAUUUCUGGUCAAACUUUACUCCCAAUGUCAACUUCAAAAUCCCCAUGUAUUUUUUCAGAGUAUCACCCAAACUUUCCUCCCCACCACAACCCAACUUCCUCAAACAAUCCAUUCAAUUCAUGUAACCCAAAAAUAGCCACCCCAGCCCACCCCAACUCCUAUAAAACCAGCCCUUCCUCCUCCAUCCUCACUGUAUAUAUUCAAAACCCUUCUAACAUUACAUAUAUAUCAAAGGUGUGAAGACAAGAACCAUGGCAGCAAAGAAGAUGGCAGUACUGCUGAUAAUCUCAAUGAUGGCGGUGUUGGCUUCUUCAGAUGAGGUUGCAGGAAGCAGCAUGGACCCAGAUUGCUAUGCAGAAUGCUGGAGAAAAUGCAUGGUCAUCCAAGGCUCCACCCCACCUUCCUGCAAGGAGCAGUGUGAUCCUCUCUGUGAUUAUCAAGCGUCAAAUAACUAUUAAGAAGUAUAAGGCAGUGACAUGAGAGUGAUGCAUUUCCACUCCUUGUAUCAUUCUCAUCAUCAAUUAUUAGGUUUUUUUUUUUUUUUUAAAUCAUUUUUUUUGGUCAUAUAUUAGGAAGUUGGAGUUCGUGGCACAAAUAGGUUUGGUGCAUGGACAAGUUUUUUUGACCAAUUUCAUCUCCUUCUCUCUCUGGUCAACUAAUGUAACCAAUGUAUAAAAUAAAAUAACAUAUUUAGAUCGCAUGGAUUUCUUUUUAUUAUGAUGUUGAUUUGCUUUUCAAAUCACAAUCAUCCUAUAUACAGUGUUGACCCAUGAGAUAGAAUUUAGGGUUCUGCUUGAUGACUGUUGUUAAAAGUAGCUUUAACUUACAUUUGAUGAGCUUUUAGAAGAUAGGUUUUUUAGAAUAUGUUUUGAAAAUUAAUUGUUUUUUUUUAAAUAAAUUUAUUUUUAGGUUUUUUUUUUAAGCAACAAUUAAAAAGAUCGAGAAUAUUUUAAAACUUUUACAUUGCACAUAAAUGCAUAAUACAUUGAUAAAGUGUAUAUUAGGAGGUUAUUUGGUUUCAUCAUUUUGAUAAAGACUAAUAUGUGUAUCAAUAGUUUUGUAUAAGGAUGACGGAGCGCGGGUUUGAAAUAGUUCACCUCAUUCCAAUCCCGUCCCAUUUAUUUGUAUAUAUAUUCCUAUCUUCACCCAAAAAAAAAAAUUUAAUUAAGGUAAGGUGGGCGAGCAAGCCAGAUGUACGAAAUUCCCAUCUCAGCCGUUUAAUUUUUUUUUUUCAAUUUUUUUUUGUUUAUUUUCAUUUUUUUAAUUAUAAAAUUUAUAAAUAUUAUAAAUAUUUGUAAUUUAUUGUUAUGAAAAAUGAAAAAUAAUCAAUUAAAAUAAUUUUUAUUUAAUAUUAUAUAUAAUAGGAUAAGGAUGAGGCACAACAGGGCAGGAUAAAAUCAAAUUAGAAGUCACCUCGAACCCGUUGGAGUAUUAAAAAAUUUCUCAAACCUAUCCCUACCCCAUUUAUAUUUUUCCCAAACCCGUCCUAUUAGGGCCAGGACUAGGCGGGUACCUAAAAAAACCCUUGCCAUCCCAAGUUUUGUAGGAUUCACAGUUGGAUUUAGUGCUAGUGCCUGGCCCAAAGCCAAGAAGGAACACCAAAUGGGUCAUGGUUGGGCUUUAUUUAAUGGACCGAGAUUGGGCCAAAACAGUAGUUGCUAGCUUCUUAUUGCAUAACGUUGGAAAAGUGCUUAUUUAUGGUAAUUUUAAAUGUGUGAAAUUUUACUAUUUUUUAUUUUUAAUUUUAAAAAAGUGAAUACAAAGAAAGAAAAGAAAAGAAAAGAAAAUCUAAAAUUACAAGAAAAUGAUAUUUAUGAUUAAGAGUUAAUUUCAUUCACUUUUUGAAUAUUUGGACUAAAUACAUUUAAUCCUUAUAAGUUUGAAAUUUUAUCAAAUAUCUUUCUUAUUUUAAGUAAGAUGAGAGAUGAAUGAAAAUUAGAAAUAAAAUUGAUAAAUGAAGUCUUUGAUAAAAUUUUAAAUCAAGGAAGACAAAUUAUAUUUAGCUAAAACCUCAUGAGAGGUAAAUGAAAUUAAGGGCUCAUUUGGUUAUGUUUUCUUAAACUUGUUUUUAAAAACAUAAUCAAAUCACCCAUGUUUUUCUUUUAUUUUUAAAAUUUAAUGAAAACAAUUUUUACUUAUUUUCUAAAUAUUGUUCUCUAUUUCACUUUGUUUUUAAAAAUUGUUUCAAGAGAACAACAAUCAAAUAGUGUUAAAAAAAAUUUAAAACAAUUUUCUAUUUUUAAAUUUUUUUUUUUUAAAUUAUCAAACAUACUCUAAUCUUUAUGUUUAAUUGAAUUUAUUAAGUAAUAAUUAUUUUAUCCUUUUAAUUUAAAUGUAUCUUCAAUAAACCUAAUCAUUUCUAUGCAAAUAUUAGAUUUUUUUUUUUCAAAAUAGACAUGAUGGCCCACACGACAAAAAUGUCAAUCAACCUUAUCAUUCUUAUUAAUCAUAAGUUUUUUUUGAAAAAGUACAAAGGAGGAGGUAAUUUCAUAAACUAAAGUACAAAGUAAGGUCCACAAGGAAAGUAAUAAGAACUCACCAACAAUGGAUAUGUUUAUAUUUUGUUAAUAAUAUACUUAAAUAAUUUUACCAUUGUUUUAGAAAUAUUGAAUUAUGGAAUAAUAUAAUUUAAAAAUUGUAAUUAAUUAAUUGUACAAGUCAUAAUGAUGAUUGGGCUCCACAUAGGAAAAUUAGAGAAUGAAGUUUUGGAUGAAACCCAUUAUUUGGCUCAAUAAAAUAUGCAUUUUGAGUGCUGUUUAAAUAAUUAUAAUUAUUUAAGAUAAUUAUUUUUUGUCACAUCUAAAAUCACAAUUAUAGAGCUAAUUCUAAGUGGCAUCUUAAAAUGUCUCAUUUUCAAAUCAUGGAUUUUUUUUUUUUAAGAAAAUUAAAUUUAUUAAAAAAUAAAAAAAAAAUUAUAAUUUUGAAUAAUUAUUUUGAGAGUGAACCAAAAUUUGGAAAAUUGAAAAUUGGUUAACGGGCAUAAGAGGAGCAAUAAAUAUUGGGAGUUUAGCAUUUUUCACUAAGAAUUUUUUUAGGUGAUUGUGUGACAACUCAUGCAGCUCUACAGUUUCUUGUAAUAUGACCGUUGAGUCCGUAAAUGGAUGCCACGUGGACAAACGGAUGCCACGUGGAUAAAUCAAUAAAAAUGGAGCCAAAGCAGGAUAAGUAUAGGGUGUCUUCCUUCACUUUCCUUUCCAUAUUGAUUCUUCGCUCCUCUUUCACAACGGAUACUUCUUUCUCCCGCUCGCUCUAUAUAUUUCACCUCUUUCCUUAGUCUUUCUCCAUUCUAUUCACUCCCUAUCAGCUUUUGAUUCCUUGAUAUUCUCUCUCUCUCUCUCUCUUUCUGGGUUUUUGAUUGAUUGUGUUUUCUUUUUCUGGUUUGAUUGAUAUAUACCUUGAUACCCAGAUGGGGUUUAAUGGAUUGAUGCGGUGGUGGCUGGUUUUUGCUGGGUUUUUGUGCUGCUGUGAAGGGUUUAAGUUCAUCGUCGGUGGAAAGGGUGGGUGGGUGGAGAACCCUUCUGAGGAGUAUAAUCAGUGGGCGGGGAGGAACAGGUUUCAAGUGAAUGACACUCUCUGUAAGUGAUCUUGUCUGGCCUUGUAUAUUUUGAUGAAGGAUUUGAUGAUUUUUUUCUGAUGAUUUUUUUUUCUGUGUUUGUGGGUAAGUUUUUAAGUAUCAGAAGGGGGUGGGGUCUGUGUUGGUGGUGGAGAAAGAUGACUACUUCAGUUGUAAUACAGAGAAGCCGAUAAUGAAAAUGGAUGAUGGUGAAUCGGAGUUCAAGUUUGAUAGAUCGGGUCCCUUCUUCUUCAUCAGUGGAAAUAAGACCAGCUGCGAUCAUGGCCAGAAGUUCAUCGUCGUCGUUUUGUCUCCCGACCAUUUCAAGCCCCGUCCAGCUGUGCCUCCGGCGUCGCCUCCUAAAGCCUCUGCACCAGCCCCACCGCCGUAUACAGCACCUGCUUCACCGCCGAAGUCGGCGUCCCCUGGUCCUUCGCUCCCACCAGCCUUGUCGCCGAAUUCUCCAUCUCCGGUUGCUCCGACACCGGCGAAGACACCCGAGCUAUCUCCUACACCUGCGCAUUCUCCGGAACAGUCUCCGGCGCCGUCGAAUUCUCCAUGGUCGCCGUCUCCCACACCCUCCAUCUCUCCAGCGCCCUCGUAUUGGUCGCCGUCUCCAACCCCUUCCUAUUCUCCUGCGCCGUCAAAUCCUCCAUCAUCGCCGUCUCCAACACCCUCUCCUGGACCGGCAAAUUACCCAUUGGCGCCGUCACCUCAGCCAAACUCUCCAACAACUUCUCCAAAUCCUUCACCCCCCACUUCGUCUCCUCCUGUUCCAGCCACAACCCCACCUUCACCUUCGACGUCUACUCCCGCCACCCCACCUUCAUCUUCGACCUCUACUCCGGCCGCCGUCAUUUCACCGGCACCGACACGGUCAUCGGCAACUGUUAUUGCACCGUCAACGGUUACCUUGUCAUCCGUGGUUAUUACAAUACUGAUUAUUGCUUUAGGCCGCUUGUUUUAACAUUCAUUUCUUUAAUUUCUUUUUUUAUAAAUGCAUUUUAUUUUAUUUUAUUUUAUUUUUCAAUAAUUCUAAUUUUAUCAUGGGAUGAUGGUGAGAUGUUUGAUUGAUAAAUCUUUGUAUAUGACAUAUUUUUAAUUAUUUGAUUUUUUUUAUUUUAAUGCAAAAUAUUAGUUAUUAUCAAAAUAUGGGAGACAAGCUUGCACUUGAAGAUAUAUUAUUUUCUUAAUUUAUUUUCCUUCAAUAUAAUUCAACAUUAUCCCAUGCAUCAAUCAUUCAUUUUUUUUAAGAAUAUCAUUUCAUAAAAAUAAAAAUAAAAAAUUGAAUUUUUUUAUUAAAAAGCAAAUUGAGUGGAUGGAAAAUAUAAAAAGAAAGAAAUUGACAUCCAAAAUAGAAAUGAAGGUAAUUACUAUUAAAUUAAAAAAAAUUCUAUGAUACCCAAAAUCACAAAAAGUGAAACCAACUAAUGUGGCUUUAUGCCAUCUUCUUCCUUUUUAUUUUUUAUUUUUAGUUUAUGUUGUUAGUGGAAUUGUUUUGUUAUGUUCUGUUUUUUGUGAUUUAAUUUUAUUAGAGAGAGAGAGAGAGAGAGAGAGAGAUUUUCCUUCAGCCUUGCUAGCUUUACAUCUGUUUUUCAUUUUUCUAGACUUUUUUUCUCGUUUAUUAUUCAUUUUUUUCCCUCCCAAUUUUUCUAAAAGCAAACAAGGCUGAAGGAAUUUAUUCCUCUUGCUUUAAGCUACUUUACUUUAAAUUGAAGGGAUUUCAUAAAAACUCAACACCAACCAAAUAAACACUUAAAAUAGUUCUUGAGAAUACUACUAGCCAAUUCAAAUAUAUGUAUUUAGAAGGAAGCCUAUAAUAAUUCACAUUUUCCAAGCUUUGGGAAUGUGAUAUAUAAAAUGUGAGUCCAAACUUUAUUACCGAAGUAGUUUUUUUCUUUUUUGGUUUUUUUUUUCCAUAAUAAUUUAUUGUUAUCUAUCAACACUUUCUCGCAUCAAGAGUGAAAAAUGAGAAGCCUCAAUAUGUGGAUUGAGAGAAUAUUGGAAUUGGGUUUGGAUGCCCAAGUGGGUUUACUCGACCUAACCUAAUAAAUGAGAAAUGAAGAAGCUGUUUCUAAGAAUUUUAAAACUAUAUAUAAAUUAUCACUAUUAAAACAGAGAAGAAAAAAAUCUCACUUUCUUUUUUUGAAAAACAAUUUGAAAAAACAUAGUUUAAUUUAAAGAUAGUCCUCUAUUUUGAAGUUUUCUGGUUUUCUUUGUGAAAACAAAGAUCAGGAUAUUUGUAUCAUAAAAAUAAAGUGGUUCACCUUUCGGAUACUAAGAGUUUUUUAUGGCACCAAUGGAGGGCUUGAGGCUUAUUUAUAGAAAGUUUUGAACAAAGAAUUAAAUAAAAUGGUGUCUUUUGUAUUUGGGCCUCUAAGAUGAUAUAAUGUUAUAUGGGUCAAUAAAAUGUCCUUAUGCCUACAUUUAGUUGAUUUAUUGUAGAAAUAUGUCAUAAGAACUACACUUAUUUCUUUGAAAAAUUCCUAUUUCUCCUAGUAAAUUUGAAAUAAGCUCAAUAAUGUUUGGGUCAUCCUCGUUUUAGGGUCUCUAAUUCUAGCUAUCAAACCAAGGUCCUCCUCAUCAAGACGCAUGAAGUUCAAUUAGAUUCUAAAGAGUCCAAAUGAUAUUCAAUAAAAGAGUGUAGGCACUAAGUUAUCAAAUACCUUAAAAAAAAAG